GGCACUAGAAGUACUAAUGGGAAAGCAUCCUGGAGAGCUCCUCUCAUCGUUAUCUUCGUCAUUAGAUAAAAAUAUUAAGCUGAUUGAUUUGCUGGACCCACGCCUCUCACCUCCGGUGGAUCAAAAGAUUAGGCAGGAUAUCAUUCUUGUUUCAACAGUAGCAUUUUCAUGCUUGCGUUCUCAACCAAAGUCUCGACCUACAAUGCAACUCGUGUCCAACGAAUUUAUCGCUCGCAAUAAGACACCAAUGCAAAAACCUUUUCAAGAAAUUUCAAUUUUGGAGCUUAGAAACCAAGAAAUGUAUUUGGUUGAUUAAUGUGAUAUCUAAUUAUGGAUAUAUAUAUUUAACUGUUCAUGUAUGUGAUGGGAUUGCUUCUAAUCCUAAUGGAAUUUUCCAAUAAAGGUGACUGUUAAUUGGUUCUGAAAUUAUUAAGUAGUAGCAAUGUAGCAAAUAUUAUGUGUUCGACGAAUUGUCUCCCUUAGUAUUAUUAAUUCUAUUUACACGUUCACUUCCUAUACAUGUUCAAUUGCAAUUAAACGAAUGUGCAAACUACAACAUUAAUCUCAUCUAGAUCUCUCUUGCGAGUAGUACUGACCUGACAGAGGGUACAACUCCAAUCCAUGGGUUUCCUUGAACUCGUCAAAGGGAGCUCACCAGAACCUGCAGGUAGUGUGGCAGCUUCCUGCUUUGGUCCACAAAGAUUGGGAUAGGGCUUAACCUGCAGGGCUUGACAACCCUCCUCUUUCUGGUCCAAACCAACAACAAUUCUAUUAGCUUUAACUGAUUCCUCUUCUACUUUAAGUCUUCAUUUCUUGGCCAGCACUAUCUCUGCUUUCUGUAGAUUUUUUUAUCCACUUCUGAGCUCCAAGUAGUUCUUCUUCCUUGGCUUUCUGCUUCUUACCUUGAGGAUGCUCAUCUAGACCACCCUCCACUUUCUGGUUCAAACCAACAACAGUUUUAUUAGCUUUAACUGAUUCCUCUUCUACUUUAGUCUUCAUUUCUUGGCUAACACCAUCUCUGCUUUCUGUAGAUAUUUUUGACGUGGAUGAAGUGGAGUUAUUGCACAUUUUCUUAUCUCUAAGUAGUCCUGCUACCUUGGCCUUGUGCUUCCUACCUUGAAGAUGCUCAUCCAGACCUCUCUGGGUUGUAGCACUGACCUGACAGAGGGCACAACUCCACUGCUCGGUUUUGGUUGAAUUCGUCGAAGGGAGCUCUCCAGAACCUGCAGGUGGUGCAGCAGCAUUCUGAUUUGUUCCACAAAGAUUGGAAUUGGGCUUAACCUGCAGGGUUUGACCACCCUCCACUUUCUGGUCUAAGCCAACAACAGUUUUUUUGGUACCAACUGAUUCCUCUUCCAUUAGGCUUCAUUUCUUGGUCAGCACUAUUUCUGCUUUCCAUAGAUUUUUUUGAAGUGGAGUUAAUGCACAUCUUCAAAUCUCUAAGUAGUUUUUCCUUGGCCUUGUGCUUCUUGCCUUGGAGAUGCACGUCUAGACCUCUCUCGGUAGUAGCAGUGACCUGACAAAGGGCACAACUCCACUCCUUGGGUUUGCUUGAACUCGUUGAAGGAAGCUCUCCAGAACCUGCAGGUGGUGUGGCAGCUUUCUGCUUUGAUCCACAAACACUAGUAUCAGGCUUAGCCUGGAAAUGAUACCCAAACACAGAAACAACAAUGCCUUAUAUUAGUUAUCACAUCAAUGGUAAAAAUGAAAAGUAUUUCCAGUGAGCUCCAUCAUCUGCUGUUGUAGUACAGAUGAAAGAAUUUGUUUACAAAAUGAUAACGUGCAAAUUUUAUUUUAAAUUGUGAAUUCUCAAAAAAGGUGGGAAUGUAGAAGUAUAGUCAAAUAGUUAAUACAACCAGAAUCCUUGUUUAUUAACAACAUUUCCAGCAUUGAACUAGGAAAAUAUCUCCAUCCCAAAAAAGAAAAAAAAAAGGAAUAUGUUUGAAUAGGAUUAUGAAAUACUUUCUUAAUAAGCUGGACAAGGAGAGAUGAUAUCUUAUGAGCAUUUUAAUUCAUAAUUUGAGGAAAAACCAUUUUAAUGGAGCUUCCAGCCCAACGCACAUACACAAACACAAUCAAUAAGAUUUAACAUAAGAAAUUACCGGGAAAAGAAACAUCACAAAUCAAUCUGUACAAGUUCAUGUGACACUUCAUGGUAAACAUAUGUAACCUCUCUUGGAAACUUAGCUUGUGACAAGCUCACAUUUUCUCUGUGUUUUCGUUCAAAAAAGGUUUCAGACACACAUUAAUUCCAGGCUGUGGAGGACCACAUGUCCUCAUUGCUCAAAUUUUUAAAGCCACAUACAUUGGCAUUUGCACGCAUGGUCAAUGAGUUACACAACUCUGUUGUCUACUUGAGUUGACCAAGCAAACUGAAUUUGUGAACUUUGAGCGACAUAAAUAACCCAAUGCUAACAUGUUUGGAAUUAAAUCAAGAUUGUGAGUCCAAAUGUACUCCCCGACAAACUUGUCACCUGUGCAUCAAGACAAAGUCUUAUAGCACUAAGAAUGGACAUGUGAAUCUCUAAGCAACAACCUCCUAAUAACAUAAAAAUCAAGGUUGGUGUGGGAUAAAGCCAUUCAAAUGGACAUGUAAAGGGUAACUUUGAUGAAUAAGGGUUUAAGAGAAACAAUCUUAUCACAGAGUAUUUCAAUUGGAGCGGAUAAAGAAACUAACAUGAAACAAACUCACUUAUCUCUAUUUAUUUUUCAAUUAUCAUAGAUCCAAAAUCUAAAAUUAUCAUUUUGAGCUACCCUCAAUUAGUAAGCACUGCAUUGUCACUGCUUUCUUCUGAAAUUUUCCAUCAACAGAAAAUCUCUAACAAAUCAAAACAAGACUUACCAAGUUUCAUAAGUAUCAAAACAAAAACGAGCAAAGGUCCACAGGGAAGUUCUAGAAUGAAACAUUAAAACGUUUAGUUCAUGCUUCAAUCAUAUAAUACAAUAUACAAACAUCAUUUAAUCAUGUUUCAGAUAAAUUUUGCAAAUCCACAAUAAUAGACAUGCCUUUAACAUGGAAAGCAUCCCUUCCCACUUAAGGGUCUCCACAACUGCCUUACUAUCAAAAUUAGAUUAUAGUGUGAGUUAAAUUACCAGCACCCAUAGCCUCUGUCAUAUUAGUACUAUAGAUCUCGGAUUUUUCCUCCUUAACUUCAGAGCUGUCAGAUGUCUCCUUACUAGAGGUGGAACCAGUAAUUGCCUGUAAAUAAAUUUCAUCAGCAAAUUUGCACAAGUGAAUGUUCAUGUAUAAUCAAGUAACAGUUCCACAUAAAAAUCAAACAACAAACUGAAUCAACAUGGACUCGAUAAAACUAAUGGCAUAAUCAGACUACCAAUUAUCAGUUGAAGUUAAUUUUUAUACUCGCGUAUUUAGCUCCUCGACAAUAUGUACAUUAAAACCAGUAAAUAAAUAGAACAGAAUAAAGAAGAAUAUUCCAUAUUAUGAAAUAUCUGAAGAUAUUUAUGAAUAAAAAUGUCAGCACUGCUACUGAACAGCAUCACAGUUGAAGCUAAUAUUACUCUUUUAAAAAACAAAAAAAGAAAGAAAUGAAUUUGAAAUUAAAAUAUCAUAUAGUUACCUUAACGGUGAUACGUCGAUUUAGAUCAGCAUAAUUCAUCGUUCCCUGCGAUAAUAAAUCAGACACGAGACUCCAUUUCCAUUAUACACAAAACGCCCAAGCAUUAAGUAUUAACAGGAAGAAAAAACGACAAAAAAUUAUUGCGUUUUACCAGAGAAUUGAAAGAAGAAGUAGGCUUCCGUUGAUUGAAUCUGAAGCUUUGCAAAGGCAAAGCUGAGGAUCUGAAAUAUUAACCAAAAAAAUUAAAAAAUGAAAACAAAUUUAGGGAGAUUUAAAAUAAAAAUUAAAAAGAAAAAGAAAAAGCGGACCUUGGAAGAUUCUGCAGACAGUUCAUUGAUUGAAGAAGAAAGGAAAAUAUCAGAGCAAAUCGUUAAGCAGACAAGUGUGUGUGUGUGUGCGUAUUAAGUGUUGCAUUUCCAAUUGCGGGCAAUUUAUAGAGGUUGGCUGGGAAUCGGCAAAAAGGUUAUCAGCUUUUGACAGAUUCCCCAAAAUGCCAUUGCAUUUCGUUUGUUUCAGUUGCUCUUUUUGGUUCGUUGGUGAUCCAUCAGCGGGCCCGUUUGAUUUUUUUUUUUCGUUUUCCUUAUUUUCAUGGUGAAUUUUAUAUAAUUUUUUGAUUAUAUAUAUAUAUAUAUAUAUUUAUUUAUUUAUUAAAACAUAAUAAAAUAUAACAUAGUGUCUAAGUCAGAUUGAAAAUAAAUCAACACAUAUGAUUGUUGAAUUGUUAAUUGUGUUCGCAUCUUAUUUCAAUUAUUGCCUAUCAGUUUACAGUGAAUCUCAGGGUCCAUUUUUCGUGAGGUUAAUGAUUGCAUUCUGGGUUGUGUUGCUCUCAGUCUUUAGUGUUCAUUCAUCUUUUUAUGGUAAGUUGCAUGCAUUUGUUUUGUCUUUAGAGGUUAUGGUGUCUAAUUGAGCAGACACACGUUUGGCUUAUAGAUGAUAUGACUCUGAAACCAUGUCGCAGCUGUUGCUUGUUUUGUCUUGACGUGCACCCCUUGAUUAUACUCGGCGGGAUAAAUUUUGCACUUAUUUAAAAUAAAUAAAUAAAUAAAUAAAGAAUUUCCUGUGGGGAAUUCAAAGUGCAAAAACGAAUUGAUUAGUGAAGAGGAUACAGAGAUUUGACAUGAUAAUUAAUCAUCUCGUUAUGAUGUGUUAGUGUCUAAUUCACAAAUUCGGAUAAUAAAUUGCCACCCUUUCAUGUGAGACUAUUGUUAAUUGUAUUGUUCUCUUAAUAAAGUGUAAUUAGGCUAGCUACGUUACCCAGCGGUUGGAUUUACAUUGCUUCCAAUCCAAGGCUUAUAGCAUUAGCAUGAUUAACAUAUAUAGUAGCAUCGUAAACAAUGAUUGGAAUCCUGACAUCUUUGGUAGCAUGAUUGUAGAAAAUUACGACCAUGUUUGGGUAGCUUAGUUUAAAAGUUACAGUAUUAAAGUAUCAAGUAAAUAUUAGCUAUUGUAAUUAAAAAAUAUUAUAUCUUUAAUUUUACACUUACAUGAUAGAAAAUUUACUAUUUCUUUACUGAUUUUAUCAAAAUUAUUAUUUAUAAAUUAUGUAUUUACCACAUACUAAAUCAAGUUAAUUACUAGUAAAUAAUUAAUUACAAGUUAAUUAAAUUAGAAAUAUGUGUCCAACCAUUAGAACUACGUAUGUCAAGUUAGUUAAUUACUAAGGAAAGAAUUAAUAAUUUUCAUCGCAACGUAUUUAGUUACGAAACUGAUAACAAUAUAUAUUAGAAAAACCAUAAUUUUAUGAAAACUAAAGAUCAUUACUAAUAUAAAACUAAAAUCACCAAUGAUUAUAUGAUAGGAUAAUAACAAAUCCACAAUAGAUUAAAAAAACACGUCGAUUCUGAAGCUGAAUUUAUAACCGAAUCUUAAUUCUAUUUCUUCUGUAUUUACAUAAUCAUCCUGCUAAUUAAGGAUUUACAACUUUGCCAUGGAAGGUCGGUGGCUUCCAUGCCUUUUUUCUUCUUCUCCUCACAAAUUUUGCUUUUGCUUCCACUUCACCAUUAAAAAACAUCCCAAAGCUUGGUGUUGUGCGUGGAAGGACUAUUUUUCUAAACCCUAGUAAAAAAAUAUUAACUUCAGAACCAGAGGGUGAUCUCCAAACUUAUUAUGAUGAUCAAAUACUUGAUCACUUUAACUAUAAUCCACAAAGUUAUUUAAUUUUUUCUCAUAGAUAUGUGUUGAACUUCAAACAUUGGGGCGGUGGGGAGCCACGGCGGCGCCGAUAUUGGCAUAUCUUGGUGAAUAGAGUAGUCUUGAUGAUGACCUUGGUGGCACUGGAUGGCUUACUGAUAAUGCUCGUUGAUUUAAAGCCUUACAAGUUUACAAAGAGGUAAGUAAAGAAUCUGUUAUCAGGCUAGCUUGAUAAUCAUUGAAAUAGAGUUCGCAUACAAAAUAAUAAUAAUAAAGACAAAUCUUAAUCAGAAUAUUCUACAAUAUGAACUGAAAAGUUGUGAUGGAUUUUUUUCUUUAAUUCGAUUUUUUAUGCAGCAUCGGUUCUAUGGAAAAUCAGUACCUUUUAUAUCAAGCAAAGAUGCCCUAAAGAAUGCAACUCUUCGUGGAUAUUUCAACUCUGGUCAAGCUUUGGCAGAUUAUGCAAAGAUUCUCUUACACAUCAAGGAAAAUUUAUCGGCCGAAAUGUCUCCCAUUAUCGUUGUUGGAGCAUCUUAUGGAGGAAGUACAUUUUAAUAUUAUUAACAUACUUACAUCUUUUGAUUAAUGUCGUAUCAUUUGUUGCGUCAUUUUAUUCAUUUUGAUCUCGUUUGACCAAAAUAUUGAUUACGCAAAUAUUAUUUUGAUACAAAUUUAUUUUGCAUUCCAAUUAAUAAAUACUUUCAGCGAUCAUAAAACUAAGAAAUACUAAAUAUAUUUAAGAUAAUUACGUUUUUAAAAAUAACCAUCUUACAGUGCUUUGGGAGUAGUUGCGUCGUCCGCCCCAAUUAUCUACUUUGAUAAUAUCACACACUCAAACGCAUAUUAUGAUCUUGUCACCAAUGACUUUAAGGUAAGAAAUAAAAUUAAUUAAUUAAAAUUCUAUACAUGUAUGAUUGUGUUUUCUUGUUAAAAUUUAACCAUUAAAUUUUGAAAAUUAAUGAUGCAAGAAGCCAGGGAGAUCUGCUACAUGACCAUCAAACAGUCCUGGGCUACAAUGGAUAAAACGGCUGCUAGAAAAAAAUGGACUUGCUUUUCUCUCUAAAAAGUUCAAAACCUGCAAGAAAUUAAUCAUAUUACUUUACAUAACUGCUUAUAUAUAUCCAUCCGAUUUUCCCUUAAUUACAAUUAAUGCAAUGUUAUUGUAGCGUCAUUAUCGAAUGUACUAUGUCUAAUUAAUUAUCUGUCAUCCUCAGAGUAUAUAUACAUUUCGAUUAACGUGUAAUAUACAAAGUAAAAAUCUGGAUUUGGGCUUAUACACGGCCUUUGCAUUACCAUAUAUAUAGUAUACUGGUGCUUAGAUUCAGCCCUCCAGAGUGUUCGUAUUUUACAGAAUCUAAAUUUGAACUACAAAACCACGCGCAACUCUGAUUAUCAAAUAAGGCCAAAUUUGUACGUUUGCAUUUGAUAAUAUCAAUAGCUUCAUACUUAUAAAGUUUAUUGUAAUCUAACUAAAUAAAACAACAUUUUUUAGACGGCAUGUUGAAAGAUCUUUUAUAAUGUUACUAACCUUGUGGCACUUAAUUCUAUGUUGUUGUUGUUUAUUUGAUUACAAGCCUCUGAAGGAUGUUUCAGAAUUGAAGGAUUAUUUAGAGUGUAUGUAUACGGGUGCAGCUCAGUAUGAUGAUCCUCAGGAAUAUCCAGUGAACAAAGCUUGUGAAGGUAUCGAUGGAGCUUCAGAAGGCACGGAUACCCUAGGCCGGAUAUUCUCAGGAAUUGUUGCUUUAAGAUGGGAGAAUUCUUGCCAUGAUGUUGAUGAAUUCUUAUCCGAUGAAACUCUAGACUCGAGCUGGGGCUGGCAGGUAUGUGAUUACGGGUGACCUGAUUUCAUUAGAUACUUCUAUUGAGAUCGUCAAACAAACAACAUGUUGCGAUGAAUGAAUCUCUCACCUAGCUAACAAUACCUAUUUUAUGUACAUCUCUUAAUUUUAUCUAUGAGACUACAUAUUUAUGAAUGAUUAAAAAUAAUUUUCUCCUUUAUUUAGUUAUUUAUUUAUUAUUAUGAUUUUUUUUUUGUUUUGGGAAGAGAGGGGGAGGGGGGGAGGGGAUUUCUCAUGCAAACAUGCACUGAAAUGGUCUCAUCGAUUGGAAUUGAUAAAAAUAAUACAAUUUUCAAGCAGACGAUAGAAUAUAUGAAUUCAGGCAAUAAGUCUUAUAGAGUGGCUCCAAUACCACAUUGGAUUACAACUUAUUAUGGCAGUCAUGUAAGUGUCAAUUAAUCCCCAGAUUAAUUCUUUUAAUAAUUUAAUUUUUUUCAUUUUCUUUUUUAAUUAUAAAUUUUAUCUCGAUUUUUGUUCGAUUUUUAUUUCUUUUUAAUUUGCAGUGUAUAAGAGUGGUUGUAAAGAGAUUUGGUAGCAACCUUAUUUUCUCUAAUGGCUUUCGUGAUCCCUAUAGCAGCGCUGGGUAAUUAAGCUUAAGAAUUUUGGACAAUCUUUUCUAUCAAAGUUACCUAUUUAAUUAUAAACCUUUUUCUUUUUCUUCUUCUUCUUCUUCUUUUUUUUUUUUUUUUUUGAGAUUACAGUGUUCUGGAAGAUAUAUCAGAUAGCAUAAUAGCAGUGGUAACAAAAAAUGGUAUCUAAAUGUUUCUGUAAAAUACAAAAAUUAGUGUUCAAUUAUUAACUAAAUUAUUGGAUAACAUAAUUAAUAAUGUGUAAAUUAGAGCAGGUUCCCAUUGCUUAGACAUACAGCCAGCAACAGAAGAUGAUCCAGAGUGGUUAGUAAUGCAGCGAAAGAUUGAAGUGGACAUGGUUUAUGAUUGGAUCCUUAAAUACUCUGCAGAUUUGCUUCAAAAUCAGAGCAUAAGAUUAAAUUGGGACUGCAAAAUUAGUGUUUUCUUUUUCUUCCUCUCCUCUAUCUUUCUAAUAUUUAUGGAGCAAAGAUAAAUAAUAGAGCACCUAGCUAGUUUAAGAGUUCAUUUUCAUUAUUCUUAAUCUGGGUUGUCUAAAUGUGUAGAACAAGUGUGCAGUAUUACUUAAUGUAAAGCACAUAUAAAGGGCUCAAUCUUUAUGUAAUCAUCAUAUGGUGAAUAUCAAUUCAUGUACAAUCACAUUGAAUUAACCAUUUUCUCCCUUUGAUUUAGGAGUUACUGUAUAGGUCGUUGAAGCCGGUGAGAGUAAAAUAAUUUGCUCUCCAUGUACAUGUAUCUCUCAUUCUCAACCUGUUCCUAUGCUUCUACAUAAUAGCUUCUUUUGUUAAUUAUUUGACAAUCUCAUGCAAUUCCAAACAUGACUUAAAAUCAGUUUGAGAUUCCGGUGGCUAUUGAAAUAAACUACUUCUGUUAUACAGAUAAAAUAAGCUAAUGAUUAUAAAAGUAGCUCGCUCAGUGUUUGGUAAAUUCAAUUACGAAAGAACUAUUUUAUUAAAUAAUCACUAAAAUAAUUAUAAGUUUAAAUUGUCUUUUAUUUAUAUAUUAGGAUUUAUAAAAAAAAGUAAGAUACAAUUAUUCUUUUCUUAGUUAUAAUAGAAACUUUUAAAAAAUACAUUUUAUUUAAUAAGUUGCUUCUAAAAACAAUCCCAUACUUGUUUUAAAAGCAAUUGUCAAAAUACAGAAAAUAUAAAUUAACUUUUAACAAAUUUACCAAACAUUAUUUUUAUCAAAACUUAUAAAAUAAACUGUUUAUAGUAUUUCAACCGUAAUCCCAAAUAGGACAUUAGUCUUUGUUCAAAAUAAACUGCUUCAUUCUUUUUUUUUCCACAGCAUAUGUCAAGACGUAAGUUCCAAAUCAUUGCUGACUAGGGGAAGAAGUCUUCAAAGUCAAGGUGAUUAGAUUAGCAGGUCACGAAAUUACGUAUCGGAGGGGUUCCCUGCCCUCAACUUAAAAAGAUGCCUUAAAAUUAAAUAUUAAAUAAUAUGGCAUUUAUUAAAUUUAAAAAAUAUAAAAAAAAUUAAAAAGAAAACCUUUUUUUAAGUGCCCAGAGGUUUGAACGGCAACUAUAGGAUUGUUUCACGACGAACUUCAAAUGUGCAAGACUAAGGCAGGCCUAUCACGAUUUGGGCCAACUUUGGUAUACUCAGGAAGGGGCACGGAAGAGGGAGCAUUUUGGUUUAUAUUUUACUCAUACACACAUGAGUAAUUAUAUACAAACCUUUCAUGCCUUCACUACCUUUUUCAUGUGGGACAAAUGUAUUUUCCUUUAAUUUUCCAAUUCCAUGAAUUUACUUUCAGUUACCAUUUCUCAUUUAUCCAAGGAUCAUUUUGAUCAUAUAGAUAAAACCAUUUUGAAGUAUUUACAGAGAAAUAUUUGAAACAAUUUUAACUUUUCACUUACACCACAUAGGUCUCACUCAAAAUCACGCCUCAAAUAGCCACUUGUGCUAUAUUUCCAACACCUUCUGCCUCUUUUCUUUAUUGAUCGCAUGCAAAAAAAUUGAGUGCAAUGAGAUUUUUUAUCUUCUUUCGUCUAUGAUGUUUUUGUGUAAAAAAAAAUAAAAUUCAAAUGGAUGUUAAGUAGCCCAUGAAUUUCCAUAGUUUGUAUGUUACAAAAGGAGCUUUGUAACUAUUUUAAAAAAUAAACAGAUUAUUUUGAUUAUUUUGUCAAAUCACAGGAGUUUACACAUUCUUUUCUCUAUCAGUUUAUUUAUAAUAUUACACCUACACGUUUUUUUAUACAAAUUAAAUUUACACAAAGAUAUGAUUAGUCUUGUUUAUUUUCCUAUUUGAGUCAUAAUUUACAACAAGAACUCUUUGAGCUUUUUAUUUAUUUUAUUAUUUUGGGUGAUAUUUAGUAUCUUAAUAAUGCUAUUAACUAUUUCUAAUAUUUUCCAUAUUAUCUCAUAUUUCUGCAAUGUUAUUCAAAUAGAUCUACACCACACAAAUAUAAGCCAAUAAGCCAAUUGGAUAGUACUAUUGAGACCGUCAAAUAAACAACAUGUCGCAAUGAAUAAGUCUUUCGUCUAACAAUACUUAUUUUAUGUACAUCUCUAAAUUUUAUUUAUGAGAAUACUUAUUUAUGAAUGAUUAAAAAUAGUUUCUUCUUUAUCUUAUUUAUUUAUUUAUAAUUUUUUUUUUAGGGAGGGGGAGUUCCAUCCAGACAUACAGUGAAAUGGUCUCACCAAUUGGAAUUGGCAAAAACGACACAAUGUUUCAAACAUACUCAUUUAAUCUGACAGAAUAUAUGAAUUCAUGCAAUAAGUCUUAUGGAGUGGUUCCGAGACCACAUUAGAUUACAACAUAUUACGGCGUCAUGUAAGUAUUGAUUAAUCCCCAAAUUAAUUCUUUUAAUAAUUUAAUUUUCCUCAUUUUCUUUUUUAAUUAUAAAGUUUACCUCAAUUGUUGUUUGAUUUCUAUUUCUUUUUAAUUUGCAAGAUAUAAGAGUGGUUUUAAAGAGGUUUGGUAGCAACAUUAUUUUACCUAAUGGCCUUCGUGAUCCCUAUAGCAGCGAGGGGUAAUUAAGCUUAAAAAUUUUGUACACUCUUUUCUAUCGAAGUUACCCGUUUAAUUAUAUGCCUUAUUCUUUUUCUUCUUUUUUUUUUUGUUUUUGGUCGGGGGGAGAUUAUAGGGUUUUGGAAGAUAUCAGACAAUAUAAUAGCACUGACAACAAGAAACAGUAUGUAAAUUUUUCUAUAAAAUAAAAAAUUAGUGUUCAAUUAUUAACUAAAUUAUUCGAUAACAUAAUUAAUAGUGUGUAAAUUGGAGCAGGUUCCCAUUGCUCAGACAUACUGCCAGCAAUAGAAGACGAUCCAUAAUGGUUAGCAGUGCAGCGAAAGAUUGAAGUGGACAUGCUUCAUGAUUGGUUCCUCAAAUACUCUUCUGAUUUGCUUCAAAAUCAGAGCAUAAGAUUAAUUUGUGACUACAAAAUUAGUGUUUUCUUUUUCUUCCUCUCCUCUAUCUUUCUAAUAUUUAUGGAGCAAAGAUAAAUAAUAAUAGUGCAUCUAGCUAGUUUGGAUUUGGUUGUAAUUUUCAUAAUUCUUACUCUGAGUUGUCUAAAUGUGUAGAACAGGUGUGCAGUAAACACUUAAGGCUCAAUCUUUAUGUAAUAAUCAUAUGGUGAAUAUCAAUUCAUAUUCAAUUAGAUUGAAUUAACUAUUUUCUCCCUUUGAUUUAAGAGUUACUGUAUAGGUCCUUGAAGCCGGAGGUAGUCAAAGAUUUGCCCUCCACACAUACAGACAUAUAAAAAUAUUCUAAUUCAGAAUUUUAAAGUGCGGAAACGGGGAAAAUGCAUAAACCGUGCAGUUUAAAUGCUUUAAGUAUUAAGCCUUUAAAACCCCGCAGUUUUAAAAUUUUUCCUAAUGUUUCUUGCACUUUAAGAUCCCGUACCAAAAAACUACUAUAUAUAUAUAUAUAUAUUAGGUGUUUAAGCUUGUAUGCUCUGUUUAUUAGUAGCCAAGCUUGCGAGUAUAUUGCUUCUGGCGAACCUCUUCCUAUUAUUCUCCUUAAUAGCUAUUUCUCUUAAUUAUUUGACAAUCUAAUGCAAUCCCAAACGUGACUUAGCAUCAAGUUUAGGAUGGCGGUGGCUAAUAAAAUAAGUUAUUUCUAUUGUGAGGACGAAAUAAGUUGAUGAUUAAAAAAGUAUCUUACUCAUGUUUAGUAAAUUUGAUUAUGAAUGCUGUGAGGAAAUAAGCUACUGGUCAACUAAUGGUCGUUGGGUUUAAAUGGAAGAUUUGAAGAAGUCUGGGGGCAUUGUGCAGAUCGACUUCAGCUGGAGGGGUCUAGUUGAAAUAUUAAAGCUGAUGUGGCAAGAAUUCGUUAUGAGUUCGUUAUGAUUUCCCAGAAAUACCAAAGUAUAUAUACGUGUGUUUUAGCCUCUGAUAUGUGGUUGUAAUCUUUCUCAUUUCUUGAUCAUUUAGUAAGCUAAUUGGUUCUUUGUGAUCCUUGUAAACUCCUCUAUAGAAUCAGCUUGUAAUUCGAUUCAUAGUGAUCAAUAAAAGAGCAGUUUUUCCUUCUACAAGUUGAGUGCUUGGAACUGUGCUCUGUUAAAGUUCUUUCCUGUUUCUUUCUUGAUUAGCUUGCUUUGAUUAGUUCUUUCUAGAUUCAAUACGUUAAUAGGGUUAUAACAAUUGGUAUCAGAGCCAGUGGUGGUUCAAAAACAUGUCUCUUCCAAAACCCGAUAUUGAAAGGUUCACCAUUGGUGGUGACUUUUCACUUUGGAGGAUGAAGAUGAGGGCUCUCCUUGUUCAUCAAGGUCUCAAAUCAGCGCUGGAAGAAGAUGAUCUUGGGGAUGCUUCAAGUUCAGUCUUUGAUGAGAAGAAAAGACAGAUACAGAACAAGGCUCACAGUACCUUGAUCUUGAGUCUCAGUGACUCAAUUCUAAGGGAGAUUUCUAAAGAGAAGACUGCCAUUGGUAUCUGGAACAAGGUGGAGGCCUUGUGUAUGAAAAAGUCCCUGGCACACAGAUUGUUCUUGAAGAAAAGGCUAUAUACCUUUUCUAUGAGAGAAGGAGUCUCGAUUCAAGAACACAUUGACAACUUCAACAAGAUCAUUCUUGAUCUUGAAGGAGUUGAAAAUGUGAAAAUAACUGAUGAGGAUAAAGCCUUCUUUCUACUGAGCUCACUGCCAAAAAUCUAUGAAGGAUUUGUAGACACCAUGCUGUAUGGAAGAACUACACUCACUUUAGAGGAUGUAAAAGCUUCUUUGAGUUCUAAGGAGAUCCAGAAGAAUAAUGGGCAUGAAGUUAGUAAUGGUGAAGGCUUAUUUGCCAGAACAGAAAAGAAAAAUCAGAAGAAGAAGAACCAGAGUCAAGCUAAAAAGGAUGAUGUAUCUGUAAAAGAAAAAAUGAAGAAAAGAAAGUGCUUUUAUUACAAGAAACAAGGUCACUACAUCAGGGAUUGUGCUGAGAAAAAGAGGGAUGAAAAAGAGAGAACAGGUGAUGCAGCAGUAGCCUCAGAAGACUCCUCUGAUGAUGGAUACCAUAGUGCUGAUUUGUUGGUGGCUUCAAACAGCAAUAUCAAAGGUCAGUGGGUUCUUGAUUUAGGCUGUUCAUUUCAUUUGUGUCCUGAUAAAAGCCUUUUCCAUACAUAUAAAUCUGUGGAUGGUGGUAGAGUUUUGAUGGGUAACAACAAUGUGUGUAAGAUUGUUGGUAUGGGGUCUGUCAAAAUAGAGAUGUUUGAUGGGUCUGUUCAAACUCUAAGUGAUGUAAGGCAUGCACCUAGGCUAAAGAGAAACUUGAUCUCUUUAGGCAUGCUAGAUGGUAUGGGAUAUAGCUUCAAAUCUGAAAAUAGUGGUUUGAAGAUUAUGAAGGGGACUGAGAUGGUAAUGAAAGGAGUUAAGAAGAAUGGCCUUUAUGUGUUAGAAGGGUCAUCAGUGCCUGGAUCAGCUCUAAUGCCUGCUGUUUCUGAUGUUAAUAGAACCAUGUUAUGGCACCUUAGACUAGGCCAUAUGAGUAUUAGAGGAAUGCAAGAACUGAGUAAGCAAGGGUUGCUGUGUGGUGAUAAUAUAGAUGAACUAGACUUCUGUGAAAACUGCAUCUUUGGCAAGGCACACAGGUCCAAAUUCACAAAGGGCAUACAUGUAUAUAAACAACCAUUAGAUUAUGUACAUGCUGAUUUAUGGGGGCCUGCACAAGUACCAUCCUUGAGUGGGGGAAGGUAUUUUAUGUCAGUCAUAGAUGACUACUCCAGGAAAGUAUGGAUCCACAUACUGAAGACCAAAGACCAAGCCCUAGAGAAGUUCAAGAUUUGGAAGACUUUGGUGGAGACUCAAUCUGGUUUCAAGGUGAAAUGCUUAAGAACAGACAAUGGACUUGAAUUCUGUAAUAAAGAGUUUGAGCAAUGCUGCCAGGAAUGGGGAGUUAGGAGGCACAAAAUAGUAAGAUUCACCCCUCAGCAAAAUGGUUUAGCUGAGAGGAUGAACAGAACACUUAUUGACAAAACAAGAUGCUUGUUGAUAAACUCUAAGCUUCCUAGGAGCCUUUGGGCAGAAGCUGUUUCUACAGCUAGUUACCUGGUAAAUAAAAGUCCAUCUUCAGCAAUUGGCUUCAAGACACCUGAAGAACUCUGGUCUGGAAGACCUGGAAAAUAUGAACACCUGAGGGUAUUUGGAUGCCCUGCUUAUGUCCAUGUCAGACAAGGGAAGCUUGAUGCAAGAGCUAUAAAAGGAGUUUUUGUUGGCUAUCCAGAUGGGGUUAAAGGCUACAGGGUCUGGUGUAAAGAGGCUAACAAGUGUCUGAUCAGUAGAGAUGUCCAGUUCAAUGAAGUGGCCAUGAUCAAUAACUCUGACCAAGCCACUUCUGCUAAUGACAUCAAUACAAGUGACACACAAGCCACCACAAAAACUGAGCAAGGUGAAAAGAUUGAAGUGGAGUUGUCUAAAGACUAUGAAGAUCAAAUACAACCAGAGGCUGUUGAAGCUGAAACUCAAGUAACUGAUUUACAACAAUAUCAGUUAGCUAGAGAUAGAGAAAGAAGACAUACCAGACCUCCAGCAAGAUAUGCAUAUGCAGAUAUGGUUGCAUAUGCCUUGAUGAGUGCAGAAGACGUUGCAAUUGAAGAGCCUAACAACUAUAGAGAAUCAAUGAGUAGCAAGAAUAGCAGAAACUGGAUUAAAGCUAUGAGGGAGGAAAUGGAUUCUCUGGUAAGAAAUCAGACUUGGAUUCUGGUCCCAAAUCCAAGGAAUAUGAAGAUUGUCAGCUGCAAGUGGAUAUUCAAGAAAAAGGAGGGCAUUCCAGGUGUCGAAGAUUCAAGAUAUAAGGCAAGACUGGUGGCAAGAGGGUUCACACAGAAGGAGGGGAUUGAUUUCAAUGAAAUCUUCUCACCAGUGGUAAAACACAAUUCAAUCAGAAUCUUGCUUGCUAUGGUGGCUUUGUUUGAUCUAGAGCUUGAACAAAUGGAUGUAAAGACUGCCUUCCUACAUGACAAUCUUGAAGAAAAGAUAUUGAUGUCUCAACUUGAAGGCUUUGAAGAACAUGGACAUGAGGAGUAUGUGUGCCUUCUUAAAAGGUCUCUAUAUGGCUUGAAACAAUCCCCUAGGCAAUGGUAUAGAAGAUUUGAUCAGUUUAUGAUCUCCAAUGGCUAUUCCAGGAGCAAAUAUGAUAGUUGUGUCUAUCAUGGGAUUAUAAACUCAGGUGGAGCAGUAUAUCUUCUACUAUAUGUUGAUGAUAUACUCAUUGCUGGUAAAGAUCUCAGUGACAUUAAAGAGCUCAAGAAUUUGCUGAAGGGGGAAUUUGAAAUGAAAGAUCUUGGCAGUGCCAAGAGGAUUCUUGGGAUAUAUAUUAUUAGAGAUAGAACAGCUGGUACCUUGUUUCUAAGCCAGUCAAGGUAUAUCAGCAAAGUACUGGAAAGAUUUCAGAUGAUGGACUCAAAACCAGUACUGACACCUCUAGGGGCUCAAUUCAAACUCUCUGAAGAUAUGUCUCCAACUUCAGAUGUUGAGGAGGAAAAGAUGGUUGAUAUACCAUACUCCCAAGCUGUGGGAAGCUUGAUGUAUGCAAUGGUUUGCACCAGAGCAGACAUAGCUUAUGCAGUAAGUGUGGUGAGUCGAUUUAUGAGUAAUCCUGGUAAGCUUCAUUGGGAUGCUGUAAAAUGGGUCAUGAGGUACCUAAAAGGAACCUUAGAUCAUGGUUUGAUGUAUGGUAAAUCCAAGCAUGAGGUAUGUGAAGUCAGAGGAUACGUUGACUCUGAUUUUGCAGGUGACUUGGACAGAAGAAAAUCCAUCUCAGGUUAUCUGUUUAUGUUGGAUAGUUGCCUCAUAAGUUGGAAAGCUACUCUACAGCACAUAGUAGCUUUGUCAUCUACUGAGGCAGAAUUUGUUGCUGCAACAGAGGCAGUGAAAGAAUCAAUGUAGUUGAGAGGGCUGCUAAAUGAACUAUGGUUGAAACAAAAAACAGUAGAAAUUUUUUGUGAUAAUCAGAGUGCCAUUCAGCUCAUCAAGAACCAAGUUUAUCAUGAGAGAACAAAGCACAUUGAUGUGAAGUUGCACUUUAUCAGAGACGAGGUUGCAAAGGGGUCAGUUGCAGUGAUCAAGAUACAUACAGACAUCAACCUUGCUGAUAUGCUAACCAAAGUGCUAUCAACAACAAAAUUUAAGUUUUGUGUAAACUUCAUUGGUGUUGGCAGCAGCUCUAGUUCCUGAAACAUGUGUCUUUGAAGGUUUUUUAUGUUACUUAAUUGAGAUGAUCAGCUGAAUCGAGUCUGCAAGGUGGAGAGUGUGAGGAAAUAAGCUACUGGUCAACUAAUGGUCGUUGGGUUUAAAUGGAAGAUUUGAAGAAGUCUGGGGGCAUUGUGCAGAUCGACUUCAGCUGGAGGGGUCUAGUUGAAAUAUUAAAGCUGAUGUGGCAAGAAUUCAUUAUGAGUUCGUUAUGAUUUCCCAGAAAUACCAGAGUAUAUAUACGUGUGUUUUAGCCUCUGAUAUGUGGUUGUAAUCUUUCUCAUUUCUUGAUCAUUUAGUAAGCUAAUUGGUUCUUUGUGAUCCUUGUAAACUCCUCUAUAGAAUCAGCUUGUAAUUCGAUUCAUAGUGAUCAAUAAAAAGAGCAGUUUUUCCUUCUACAAGUUGAGUGCUUGGAACUGUGCUCUGUUAAAGUUCUUUCCUGUUUCUUUCUUGAUUAGCUUGCUUUGAUUAGUUCUUUCUAGAUUCAAUACGUUAAUAGGGUUAUAACAAAUGCUCUGUAUUAUUUAAUGACUAAAAUAAACAUGAGUUUAAAUUGUCUUUUAUUUAUAUAUUAGAGUUUAUAGAAAAGUAAGAUAUAAUUAUUCUUUUCUUAAAAUAUUAAGGUUAUAAUAUGAACAUUUAAAAAGAUAUAGCAACUUAUUUGCUUAUAAAAAUAAUCUCUAUUAUGUUUUUAAAAGUUACAGUCAAAAUAGAGAAAAUUAUAAAAAAAACAACUUUUAACAAAGCCAUCAAACUUCAUUUUUAUCUAAACUUAUAAAAUAAGCUGCUUAUAGUAUUUCAAUCACAAUCCUGGGGCAUUAAUCUUUGUGUAGAAUCAGAUUAGACAUUGAAUAUUUCUAAUUUUCUACACAUAAAUUAAAAUAUGUAGACUAGAAAAACACCUUGACUUCGUAAGUCCACUUCAUUCUUUAAUUUCCGCAGCAUAUGUCAAGACGUUAUUUCCAAAUAAUUGCCGACUAGGAGAAGUCUUAAAGUCAAGGUGAUUAGAUGAGCGUGUUAUGGAAUCGUAGUGGUUCCCUGCCCUCAACUAAAAAAGUGGCCUUCAAAAUUAAAUAUUAAAUAAUGUGGCAUUAUUAAUGUUAUAUAUAUAUAUGUGUGUGUGUGUGUAUGUAUAUGUAUAUGUAUGUGUGUGUGUGUGUGUGUGUGUGUAUAAUAUUAUUAAGUAUUAUAUAUAUAUAUAUAUUAGUCUUCAUGUUUUGCACGGGUUCGAACGGCAGUUGUAAUACAAAGAUAUGGUUAGUCUUGUUUAUUUUCCGAUGAGAGUCAUAAUUUACACCAACAAUUCUUUGAGCUUCUUUUUCUUUUAAUUAAUGUUGGUGCUAUAAGUGAUACGACGAUAUCUGUAACAGCAUCGGCUCCUGGAUUAUUGACGUCACCCGUAGAGUUAGAAAGAGAAGCUUUACUUGGUACAGACUGGUGGGUCAACAAUUGGGCGACGUCGGGCAACUACACGUCCGAUCAUUGUAAGUGGACUGGCGUCAGUUGCAAUUCAGCGGGAAGAGUAAUCGGGGUCAGCUUACUCUGGUAUGAAAAUGAUAAUAUCAAGGGAAAGCUCGGUCGUUUCAACUUCUCUUGCUUUCCCAACCUCAAAAGUUUCAAAAUUCGUUCAAAUUAUCUUCUCUCUGGGAGCAUUCCAUCUGAAAUUGCUGCCGUUUCAAUGCUCCAAACUCUUGAACUGCCCUCCAACAAUCUUCACGGUAAGCUACCAAACUUCACUACAUAUAUAUAUAUAUAUGUAUCAUGUAUGUAUGUAUGUAUGAAGUCGUGCUCAUGCUUGAAGCAGGCGUCUGUUUUUACAACACUGAAGAAGUUUUUUUUAUGAUGAUUUCUUUAUAAAUUUUAUUUAUAUGAGGAUAGUGAAUACUAAUCUCGUUUUUCAUAAAUCACAUGCGCAAUAGAAAUUAUCCCUUCAGAGAUGGGGAGAUUGAGGAAUCUCGUCCACCUGGAUCUAUCUGAUAAUUACCUCUCGGGAUAUAUCCCUCCAACUCUUGGUCGUCUAAGCAAAUUGGAAAAUUUGAACCUGUCUUCUAACUCCCUUGUCGGUAAUAUCCCCCCCACUCUAGGUCAUCUAACCCAUCUAACUACUUUGGCUAUUGCCUGGAACCAAAUUAAUGGUUCCAUCCCAUUAGGAAUCAGGAGUUUGAAGGCUCUUCAAGUUCUUGACCUGUCCGGAAAUGAAAUUGAAGGUUCAAUUCCUUCAACACUUGGCCAUUUAAAGAGAUUGAGAAGUUUAGACUUGUCCCUAAACGAACUUGUUGGUCCAAUCCCUUCGUCUGUGGGUCAUUUGACUCAGCUAACUUUUUUUAAUAUGGACUCAAACCACAUAAAUGGUUGCAUCCCAUUAGAAAUCGGGAAUUUGAACUUUCUUCAAGUUCUUGACCUGUACGACAACAAACUUGAAGGUCCAAUUCCUUCGACCAUAGCUAGUUUAGUCAACUUAACAUCUCUGUCCCUGGAUUAUAACAAUCUAACUGGAUCUAUUCCUUCAACACUUGGUCGUUUAAAUAGGUUGAGAAGUUUAGACUUGUCCCAAAACAAACUUGUUGGUCCAAUCUCUUCGUCUGUGGGUCAUUUGACUCAGCUAACUUUUUUUAAUAUGUACUCAAACCACAUCAAUGGUUGCAUCCCAUUAGAAAUCGGGAAUUUGAACUUUCUUCAAGUUCUUGACCUGUACGACAACAAACUUGAAGGUCCAAUUCCUUCGACCAUAGCUAGUUUAGUCAACUUAACAUCUCUGUUCCUGUGCAAUAACAGUCUAACUUGAUCUAUUCCUUCAACACUUGGUCGUUUAAACAGGUUGACAAGUUUAGACUUGUCCGGUAACAAUCUUGUUGGUCCAAUCCCUUCGUCUGUGGGUCAUUUGACUCAGCUAACAACUUUUGAUAUGCACUCAAACCGAAUCAAUGGUUCCAUCCCAUUAGAAAUCGAAAAUUUGAACUUUCUUCAAGUUCUUAAUCUGUCCCACAACAAACUUGAAGGUCCAAUUCCUUCGUCUGUGGGUCAUUUGACUCAGCUAACUACUUUGAAUAUGUACAAUAACAAACUUGAUGGCCCAAUUCCUCCAGAACUCAUGAUUGCUCAAAGCUGAGGAUAUUAAAAUUGGGAAACAACUUGUUAAGCGGAAGCAUUCCGUCAGAGAUCGGCAAACUUCAAGAACUAUAUUUUCUUGAUCUGAGCCAUAACUUGAUUAAUGGUAAAAUACCUUCCCAGCUUGGAGCAAUUCCAAGCAUAGUUACCGUGGACUUUUGCAUGAAUAACCUCUCUGGUAGUAUCCCUGAAUCUAUCAGAAAAGUUCCUUUCUUAUGUGUGGAUGGCAUUUAUUUUGAGGCAGAAAUCCCAACUACUUUAGCAGAUGCGCCACCGCCACAUCACAAAGGCAAUCACAAAAAGAUUGCCACUCGAUUGGUUGCAAUUAUUCUUCCUAUGGCCACAUUCAUUGCCUUAAUAUUUGGAUUCUUGUUUGUCCGUAGACGAAGGGAUAAGAAAGUUGAACCAGCUGAGACAGAAGAAAUUAACAAGUGCGCUGAUGAGUUUGCAAUUUGGAAUUACGAUGGUAGAAUUACAUUUCAUGACAUGAUUGAAGCUACUGAGGAUUUCCAUAUCAAAUAUUGCAUUGGAACCGGAGGCUAUGGCAGCGUUUACCGAGCACGACUGCCCAGUGGAAAAGUAGUUGCUUUGAAGAAACUUCACGGUUCAGAAACUGAGGAGUUAGCUUCCCUCAAGAGUUUUCGGAAUGAGGCUCGUCUACUGUCCCAAAUACGGCAUCGAAAUAUCGUAAAGCUUUACGGGUUUUGUUUGCACGAGAAAUGCAUGUUCUUAAUCUAUGAGUACAUGGAAAUGGGAAGCUUGUUCUGUGUUCUACGCACUGAUAACGAAGCUGUUGAGUUGGAUUGGACUAAAAGGGUGAACAUUGUGAAGGGCAUGGCUCAUGCUUUGUCAUAUUUGCAUCAUCACUGCACACCACCAAUUGUUCACCGGGACAUAUCAAGCAACAACAUUCUACUCAACUUAGAAUUAGAAGCAUUUGUUGCCGACUUUGGCGUUGCUAGAUUGUUAAAUUUUGACUCAUCCAAUCGAACUCUAUUGGCUGGCACUUAUGGAUAUAUUGCUCCAGGUAAUCUUCUAGCUAUUCUUCUUGUGCUUCUUUAAUUAUUCUUUUAAUUAAUUUCUAUAUGCACUCUGUUAAGUAAGUUUUAAGCAGUUUUAUUUAGUUAGCUACUUAAGUUCGAAUUUUGGAAUAGGUAAGGUGCUGAAAGAUAAAUUUGAACUUUGCCUACCCGUUUAACUUUUUUUUGUAAAAAAAAAAAAUUACACGCAGUUUAAAUAUCAAUUAAAAAUGUAAACAAAUUGUCAGACCUUGCUGCAGAAGCUCAAAAAUAUAAACAAAUUGUGCUUGUUAUUGUUUAUGGAAACAUCACUAAUAAAGGCUUCUGUUUUCAUACAGAACUUGCCUACACCAUGGUUGUGACGGAGAAAUCUGAUGUUUAUAGCUUCGGAGUGGUGGCACUAGAAGUACUAAUGGGAAAGCAUCCAGGAGAGCUCCUCUCAUCGUCAUCUUGGUCAUUGGAUAAAAAUAUUAAGCUGACUGAUUUGCUGGACCCACGCCUCUCACCUCCGGUGGAUCAAAAGAUUAGGCAGGAUAUCAUUCUUGUUUCAACAGUAGCAUUUUCAUGCUUGCGUUCUCAAGCAAAGUCUCGACCUACAAUGCAACUCGUGUCCAACGAAUUUAUCGCUCGCAAUAAGGCACCGAUGCAGAAACCUUUUCAUGAAAUUUCAAUUUUGGAGCUUAGAAACCAAGAAAUGUAUUUGGUUGAUUAAUGUGAUAUCUAAUUAUGGAUACGUAUAUUUAACUGUUCAUGUAUAUGAUGGGAUUGCUUCUAAUCAUAAUGGAAUUUUCCAAUAAAGGUGACUGUUAAUUGGUUCUGAAAUUAUUAGGUACUUGCAAUGUAUUAUUAAUUCUAUUUUCACAUUCACUUCCUAUAUAUGUUGAAUUGCAAUUAAACAAAUGUGCAAACUACGACAUUAAUCUCUUUGGUUAAGCUAGGACUUUCGCAGUUCACUCUGAUAAAAUAAGUUUUGUCUAAUUGUCUCCGUCUGAGUGAGCUGAAUUAAAUAAGGAAUUUAAGGUUGUAUCUGUACGAGUUAAAAGGGUAAAUUGUCAUUUUAAUUAUUAGUUUAUUUUACAAAUUAUAUACAUAUACUUUAUUCAGAACGAGGUUCUUAAUGUCGCGUUAUUUAAUAUAUAUUAGUUUUUUCACUCCUUUGUAAAUAUUCACACAAACAUAUACAAAAAAAUUUUAAUUUAGCCGAUCCGAUCAAACAUCCUGGACCCACAGCUGAUGUUAGUAAGCUUUUGCAUAAGUUGUGGUUAGUGAUAUCUAGAGGUGCCAAAAAUACAUGCCCGGUCCGGACCCGGACCGUACCUGGGCGUUGUGGGCCGGGUAUUACCCAACCUGGGUAUGAAGCCGGAUCGGUCUUGGGCAUCACUUGAUAAACUCGGAAUCCGAAUUUUAUUAAAAAAAAUUAUAAAAUAUAUAUUAUUUUAAAUAUGUAUAUUUAUUUGACUCAUUUAAAUAUGUAUACAUAUAUAAAAUUUUAAACACUUAAAGUUUAUAUUUUCAUGUCAAAUUUUAUUGAAAUAAAUUUAAAACUUAUAAAAUUACCAAAAAAUAAAAAAUAUAUACACAUAUAAUAUUAAAAAAUAUAGCUGGGACCCGGACCCGGACCCGGUCCCAGACUGGUUGCAUCCGGACAGAGUCCGGUCAUUGCAAUACCCGAACCCGGCCAGGGGUUUUGCCAUCCCUAGUGAUAUCCCACCAACUACCUGCCAGCACAAGAUAAACUAAUGUCAGGUCAUGAUCAAGAAAAAUUUGCAUUGGGCCUAAGAGUCCAAUGUCAUAAUCAUGCAUAUAUGAAGCACUUUCAAAUGGUUGAUCUAACAGUGUCUGGUUUUCAUUUUUUGAGCUUUUUACCAACGACGGGAGAGUAGAGAACAACACAUGAUCCCCAUUACAGUAUUGUUGCUUGAAUUUACAGGCUUCAUCAUUCAGUACCUUCAAAUCCAUAUAUGACGAGAUGGAAGAAUGAACUUAAAUUUAUUAUUGUAAUUUCUGCAGUUUUAAAAUGAUAAAGUAACACGCAGCUGGUUCAUUGAAAUUUAAGACAUUCAAAAUGGAGCGCAAGAGCAAAAUAAAAGUUAAGAGCUUUAACUUCAGCAUAAUAAGGAGUCUGCUGCAUCAGGCUCACUUUAUCUGCCUCUAUAGACCACCACCUCUUCAUCUUCAGCCUUCUCAAUAACACUCUCUGCGGUUUCUUCAUUUGAUUCUUGGGCCACCGCAUCUUCAUCUUCAACAUUCUCAGUAGGCUCUGAUGGUGUCACAAUUGUAGUGCGGGUGGUGAGGGGGACAGCCUCAUUAUUUUUCCUAGAUCCAUUAGACCGAGCCAUAUGUUUCUUCCCCAUUUUAUGACCCUCCAUCACAACAGCGGAGUGAGUACCAACCUGAAAAACUUCACACCAGGAUUCGAAGUUCUCUCUAAGGGGAAGUUUUCUCCUCAUCGUCCCUUCAGUUGGUAUUCCAUUUGUUGUCUUCUGAGUGAUUGCAUUCAACGCCUUCUUCUUUGGCAGCUCCUCAUUUUUGUUCUCUGAAUCUUCUUCGCCCCCCACAUUCUGGUCAAAACCCACAACAGUUUUAAUAGCUUUAACUGAUUCUGUUUAGGCUUUCAUUUCUUGGCCGGCGCUAUCUCUGCUUUCGGUAAGCUUAAUUGUCUUUCCAGAUUCUUUUGAUGUUGUUGAAGAUGAGGUAGUGCACAUCUUCUGAGCUCCAAUUAGCUCCACUUCCUUCGCCUUGUGCUUCUCACCUCGAAGAUGCUCAUCUUGACCACCCUCCACUUUCUAUUCUAAAACAACAGCAGUUUUAUUAGCUUUAUCUGAUUCCUUUUCUACAGUAGCCUUAAUUUCUUGGCCAGCACUAUCUCUGCUUUCAGUAGAGUUUUUUGAAGUGGAGUUACUGCACAUCUUCUGAUCUCCAAGUAAUUCUUCUUCCUUGGCCUUAUGCUUCUUGCCUUGAAGAUGCUAAUCUGGAUCUCUGUUGUGAGUAGUGUUGACCUGACAGAGGGCACAACUCCAAUCCAUGGGUUUCCUUGAACUCGUCAAAGGGAGCUCACCAGAACCUGCAGGUAGUGUGGCAGCUUCCUGCUUUGAUCCACAAAGAUUGGGAUAGGGCUUAACCUGCAGGGCUUGACAACCCUCCUCUUUCUGGUCUAAACCAACAACAGUUCUAUUAGCUUUAACUGAUUCCUCUGCUACUUUAGUCUUCAUUUCUUGGCCAGCACUAUCUCUGCUUUCUGUAGAUUUUUUUAUCCACUUCUGAGCUCCAAGUAGUUCUUCUUCCUUGGCUUUCUGCUUCUUAACUUGAGGAUGCUCAUCUAGACCACCCUCCACUUUCUGGUUCAAACCAACAACAGUUUUAUUAGCUUUAACUGAGUCCUCUUGUACUUUAGUCUUCAUUUCUUGGCCAACACCAUCUCUGCUUUCUGUAGAUAUUUUUGACGUGGAUGGAGUGGAGUUAUUGCACAUUUUCUUAUCUCUAAGUAGUCCUUGGCCUUGUGCUUCCUACCUUGAAGAUGCUCAUCCAGACCUCUCUGGGUCGUAGCACUGACCUGACAGAGGGCACAACUCCACUGCUCGGUUUUGGUUGAAUUUGUCGAAGGGAGCUCUCCAGAACCUGCAGGUGGUGCAGCAGCAUUCUGAUUUGUUCCACAAAGAUUGGAAUUGGGUUUAACCUGCAGGGUUUGACCACCCUCCACUUUCUGGUCUAAACCAACAACAGUUUUUUCGGCACCAACUGAUUCCUCUUCUAAAUUAGGCUUCAUUUCUUGGUGCAGUAUUUCUGCUUUCCAUAGAUUUUUUUGAAGUGGAGCUAAUGCACAUCUUCAAAUCUCUAAGUAUUUUUUCCUUGGCCUUGUGCUUCUUGCCUUGGAGAUCCACGUCUAGCCCUCUCUCGGUAGAGCGGCGACCUGACAGAGGGCACAACUCCACUCCUUGGGUUUACUUGAACUCGUUGAAGGAAGCUCUCCAGAACCUGCAGGUGGUGUGUCAGCUUUCUGCUUUGAUCCACAAACACUGGUAUCAGGCUUAGGCUGGAAAUGAUACCCAAACACAGAAACCACAAUGCCUUAUAUUAGUUAUCACAUCAAUGGUAAAAAUGAAAAAUAUUUCCAGUGAGCUCCAUCAUCUGCUAUUGUAGUACAGAUGAAAGAAUUUGUUUACAAAAUGAUAAUGUGCAAAUUUUAUUUUAAAUUGUGAAUUCUCAAAAAAGGUAGGAAUGUAGAAGUAUAUUCAAAUAGUUAAUACAACCAGAAUCCUUGUUUAUUAACAACAUUUCCAGCAUUGAACUAGGAAAAUAUCUCCAUCCCAAAUGGUAGUUUCGUUAAGGUGCACCAAAUUUAAAACUUUAUCACUAAUAUAAAUAAUUAGUACAGAGCGAGUAAGGAUCGAUCCCACAGAGACUAUGCUAGUUAUAUUUAUUAUUAACUCCAAAGCAAGAUUUAAAAUAAAAUAAUAGUAAUAAUACUAAUAGUAAUAGUAAAAAUAAUAUAAAUUAAUCUAACUAAAGAAAAUGCCAAUUAAAAAUAAAAGGGGGGUUUAUGAAUUUUUAACUAAAUAGUAAGAAAUAAAGAAAUUAAAAUUACGAACAAGAAUUUAAUAAAAACUCUAAUUAAAGGAGAAAGAAAUAAUAAUGAUGAAAACUUUGGUUAAAGGAUCAUUCGCCACCACCAAACAUGCACAUAAUAUAUCAAUUCUAUCAUCAAUUUAUAUUAAAACUAUCAACCUUAGACAACAAUAAGCUCUGUUAGUCUCAAUCUUUCCUUAGUGUGUCGUUAGGCAAAAUAAGCUCUUCACCUAAUCUCUAACCAUUAAAUAAUUUAAAACAAGCUCUUUAAAUUUAAGAUAAUGGAAGCAUUAAACAGAUAAAGAUAUUAGGUUGAUCUAGGCAAUAAACACACAAGCUCGGAUUAUUUAACCUAGGUUAUGUUCUUCAAUUGAAAUCACUAAUUCCAACCUGCUACUAAUAAUUAAAAUAUCAAGACAAUUACGGAUCAAGAAUUUUAAUCUAGUAAUAAAAUUUAUUCAAGUCCUAUCUAAUUGGCCACUCAAAUAAAACAAGAAUAAACCAUGUACAUUAAUUAUAGAAGAACAUAAACAAUCUCAAUUAAAUAAAUUGAAUGAUAGAAUUUAAAUUUAAUUGCAUAGCAUGUUUAGGGUUUUGAAUUCACCCUCAACCAAAUAAAAAUCUAGCCUAACAUGAUUGAAUUGGAAAUAAGAGAAUUGACAAAACCAAUCAUGGAGAUCAAUUCAAGCGGCUGCCUUUUUCUUUAAUUGAAUUCCGGCUGCUGAUUUUUUUCUUCUUCUUGCGGCUGUUGAUUUUCCUCUUGCUGCCGAAUUGGAUCUGCCCUCUUCUUUUUUUCUGUCCAGCGGCUGCAAUCUCCUUUUAUAAUGCUAGUUGACCGAAUUCUUCUCCAACAAGAAUAAAGAAAUCCUUUUUCAAUUCUAAUUGAAAUCCUUUUCCAAUUUAACACCACCAAAAGCCAUUAAUUCCAACUUUUGAAAGUCAAUUGCUGGCCCGUUUAAAUGCUUUCUACUUUUGCAAUGCCAUGCACGUGUACUCCAAUUGCCAAUUGGAAAAAAUUAAAUCUUUUAAUUAUUCAACAUUUCUCAAUUAGAUUAAUUAUUUUGAUUUCUUCCACUCGGUUUUAUCAAUUUUUGUCUGUAUUUUUGUCUUCCAAUUUAAUCUUUAUUCCUUCUCAAUUUGAACUUCUUAAUGCCCUUUUUAUUCAUAAUCUCCAAUUGAUUUCCUAUUCAAUAAAAUAAUUUAAUUAAUUAAAAAUAACAAAUAAAAAUAACUAGUAAUUAAAUAAUUAAGGGUAAAAUAUGUAUAAUUUAAAAAUUAACUAAAAUAACUAGAAUAUUUAAGACCAAAACAAGAAAAAGAUGGAGAAGUUAAUAGUAAAAUAUAUGAACAAUAUGCACUUAUCAAAUUCCCCCACACUUACCCUUUGCUCGUCCUCGAGCAAACCUAGAACAAAAAUAAAAAGAAAACCUAAACUAGACCACUUUCGUAGGAAAUCACGAUUGCAUUUACCAUAUGCAACAAGCCUUUAAACCCCUAGGCGGCCCUAGUGGACGAGUUAUAGUCUCGUGAGGGCUUCAGCGAUGAUACCCACAAACAUCAUUGCAUUUUUUAUUUUAUUUUAGCAGAAAAAGAACAAAGGAAUUUAAAAUAAAACUAGCCUCAAAGAUUGCAUAAAUCAUAUAGCUCAAAGAAAAUUUCAAAUAUUAUCGAAGUUCUAACUUUAAUUCAAUAGUCAAUCACAUCUCUCUUUUGAUUCUCAUAGUGUGUGUGUGAAUCAAUUCUAUUAAAAUCCAUUCCCAAAAUCUUCAAUAUCAACAGCCUUUGCCUUGAACAAAGAAAAGAGUAGGUCAAACUAAUCUUAUCAUCUUGAUCUCCAAUUUUUUUUUCUUUUACAGGCAUUUGUGUGCAUUUUCUUUUGAAGUUCUUUUUUUUUUUUUUUUUGUUCAGGAGCUUUCACUCUACCCCUUAAGGUAGUCUUCUUCUCAUGGUAGAUUAUCCUCUACAUACUGGUGGUACAUAGGCCCAAAUUACUCAAGGAUAGCUUCACUCUUAAGGGUUAUAGGUAGCUAUUUCUGACUAUGGUGCCUGUGUAUACUACACUGUAUUGUGGAGAUAAGAAUCAAGACAAACAGUCAUUUACUCAAUCUAAAAUUCUCAACUCAGGCUGCGUCAAUCUCAAAUUCUAAGUCAAAAUUAUAAAAGAAUUUAUAUUAGUGCUCAUGGUUUAAAGAAUCUCAAUUAAGAGGAAAUCAACACAAGAAUCAAGUAUAAACUAAGGUAAUAUUCAACCCUUUCUAAGAACCAUAUUCAUUGUCAAUCAAAUUCUUAUCACUGGCUAAUAUUCAAAACAAUAUUUUUUUUUUUUUUUUGUAAAAAGAAAAAGACGAAGUAACAAAAACUAAGUUCGAAACCCACCCCCCACACUUAAUUCUUACAUUGUCCUCAAUGUAAGCCUAAGCUAACAAAAGACAGAAUUAAACAUGGGAAAAUGAGAUGAGACACACAAACAGAAACAAACAAAAUUCAACACAACGUAGGUAAAGUAAAUGAGAAUGAGAGGGAGAAAAAUCAAAUCUGUUAUGGCGUGCUCUCAAAAUCUUUUCUCCAGCCAUUGGGUUGCCUCCCAAUAAGCGCUUGGUUUAUUGUCCUCAGCCUGACCUGGUUCUCAAGUUUCACUCAUCAAUGUACGCAGGUUCAUAAAGUGGAGCCUCCUCUACAUUGAGUGUUUGAAAAUUUUCAUAGUAAGGUUUCAACCUAUGACCAUUAACUUUGAACUCUUUACCUGUCUUUAAGCUCUUGAUCUCAACUGCACCAUGAUGAAAAACAUUAAUAACAACAAAAGGCCCAACCCAUCGAGAACGUAACUUACCUGGAAACAACUUAAGGCGAGAAUGGAAUAGCAAAACUUUAUGUCCAACUUUAAAAUUCUUUCUCAAGAUCUGCUUGUCAUGAAAAACCUUAGUCUUUUCCUUAUAGAUUCGUGAACUCUCAUAGGCAUCAUUUCGAAUUUCCUCUAAUUCUUGCAAUUGGAGCUUUCUGUGUUGGCUGGCAGUGUUCAGUUCCAUGUUACAUUGUUUCACAGCCCACCAUGCUUUAUGUUCAAGUUCCACUGGAAGAUGACAAGGCUUACCAUAUACCAACCUGUAGGGUGACAUACCAAUAGGAGUUUUGUAUGCGGUCCUAUAUGCCCAAAGUGCAUCAUCAAGCCGUAAGCUCCAGUCCUUUCUAUUCAGAUUAACUGUCUUUUCAAGGAUUGAUUUCACUUCCCUAUUAGACACCUCAACUUGCCCACUAGUUUGGGGAUGGUAAGAUGUAGAUACCUUGUGAGUGAUGUUGUAUUUUCGAAAGAGGGCUUCUAUUGACCUGUUACAAAAGUGAGUGCCUCUGUCGCUGAUAAUUGCCUUUGGUGUUCCAAACCUUGUAAAGAUGUUACUUUUUAUAAAAUCUACCACAACCUUAGAAUCGUUAGUUCGGGUGGCUUUUGCUUCCACCCAUUUAGAAACAUAAUCAACCGCAAGAACAAUAUAGAGAUGACCAAACGAUGAAGGAAAUGGUCCCAUGAAGUCGAUGCCCCAAUCAUCAAAAAUCUCAACUAUAAGAAUGGGAGAUUGUGGCAUCUGAUUUCUAGGUCCCAAAUUACCUAUUCUCUGACAACGAUCACAAGAUUUGCAAAACACAUAUGCGUCCUUAAAUAGUGAUGGCCAAUAAAAACCGCUCGCAAGUACCUUAAGGGCUGUUCUCUUUGGUCCAAAAUGUCCUCCACAAGCCAAAGUAUGAAAAAAGGUAAGAAUAUAAGUAAAUUCAGUUUCGGGUACGCACCUUCUAAUAACUUGAUCAGAACAAUGCUUCCACAAGUAUAGCUCAUCCCACACAUAGUACUUGGCAUCACUCUUGAUCUUGGCCUUUUGUGCACGGGUUAUCUCUUCUGGUACUGUCUUGGUAACUAAGUAAUUGACAAUAUCUGCAUACCAAGGAGUAACUGUACCUACCUGUAAUAACUGCUCAUCUAGAAAGUUCUCAUGCAAUGGAAGUUCAUCUUCGUUAUGGAUAAGUCGACUCAAAUGAUCUGCUACCAAAUUCUCAGAGCCUCUCUUAUCUAGAAUCUCUAUGUCAAAUUCUUGCAAUAGAAGUAUCCAUCGUAUAAGGCGCAGUUUGGCAUCCUUUUUGGUGAGCAAGUACUUAAUAGCUGCAUGGUUAGAGUAAACGAUUACCUUAGAUCCAAUUAAAUAAGAACAAAAUUUCUCUAAGGCAAAGAUAACUGCUAAAAGUUCUUUCUCUGUGGUAGAGUAGUUAAGUUGUGCAUCAUUCAAUGUACGAGAGGCAUAAUAGAUGACAUGAGGAAGCUUGCCCACACGCUGGCCCAACACGGCUCCAACAGCAUAGUCACUGGCAUCGCACAUAAUCUCAAAUGGUAAAUCCCAGUUUGGUGGUUGAAUCACAGGGGCCGAUGUCAAAACCUCUUUUAACUUCUUAAAAGCUCUUUGGCACUCUUCAUUGAAGUCAAACGUUGCAUCCUUUUGAAGUAAGUUGCAGAGAGGUAAAGCUAUCUUGGAGAAGUCCUUGAUAAACCUGCGAUAGAAACCUGCAUGACCAAGAAAAGAACGAACCUCCCUCACACUAGUGGGAGGUGGUAAGGAGCGUAUAAGAUCUAUCUUAGAUUUAUCAACUUCAAUCCCCUUUUCAGAAAUAACAUGGUGAUGGUUGUCGAAGCCAACAAAAAUAAAUUCCUACUCUAAAUAAAUUGUGUAUAGUGAUUGAGCAGGGUCGUGUCCACAGAGAUCGGUAAUUAUUUAAAUCCUUUUGAAACGUAAAACGUAAAAUGGGGGAAUUGUAAACAAUAAUAAAAAUCAAAUUAAAUAACAAGAAUGCAAAUUAAAGUUGUAAUUCAAAUUGGAGAAAGCUCUAGUUGAAGGAAUUAACUAAGCUUGAUUCGACUACUGAUCAUUGAUUCAAAUAUAGAUUAUUAUUACUUAUGAAUAAACCGGUUAUAGCUAUUGAGACCCUCGAAUAGCCAAUCUCUCCUUAACUAGUCGAUAACCAAGGUACGACCGUUGGAAAUUUCCCUAAUCAAUAGACAACCCUAGAUACGAUCAUAGGAUUUAAUCAAUUGACAGCCUGAAAAACCAGAGAGACCCAAAUCCUAAUCAACACAUAUGAUGAUUCAUUUAAAUUAGAUUGUUUAUUCUCACAACACAACUCUCUGCUAUGUUAUUUGUCACAAACAUUAAAUUCUUCAUACGAUGAAUCCUUUAAUUGACAAUAGAUUAAGUUGAUAAUUAAAUAGUGGCCAAUUACCUAAUUAACAAACAUAAUCAUGAAACUAAUUCAGAGAAUAAACAAAUACCCAAAAAGUAAUAAAACAAUUAAAGCAUAAGAAAGAUCUCACAGUAGUGAUGAAUCAAAGCUUCAUUAUCCUUCAACCAGAAAAAUAGGUUUAGUUCUUCAUAGAGAGAAGAGAAAAAUUAGAUCUAGGGUUUCUUUCUUCUUCUCCAAUCCAAAAAUCCCCCCCUUCUUUCACAAUAGAUUCCUCCUUAAAUACUCUCUCUCUCUUCUCUUUUAGAGUUCUAUUUAAAAUAAAAUACUAAUAUCUUAAAUAUUAAAUUCGUAAUUACAAAAAUAGCCAAAAAUACAAAACACGUUAAACUAAAAACUGCAGGUCCGCAGUUGACAGCACGCGCCCACGCCUUAUCAAUAAAGUUCUUCUGCCGCUCAUAAUUUCUCCAAGAGAACAAUCAUCCUUAAAAAUCAUCUUGUAGCUCAAUUUUAUCACCAAUCAAUAGAAUUGCACCUACAAAAGUAAAACACAAGUAAAUUAUUAUUAUUAAGUGCAAAACAUCGAUAUUAAGGGAAGUAAACAAUGCAAAACUAGUGCAUAAAUUGCACUCUAACACAUGGCCUAGUACAAUACCUUGAUUAACCAUAAAAUGACAUUUUUCCCAAUUAAGCACAAGGUUAGUGUCAAUGCAUCGUUUAAGAACAAGUGUAAGGUUAUCUAAACAUUUAUUGAAAGAAUCACUAUAAACUGUAAAAUCAUCCAUAAAUACCUUAAUGAUGUUCUCUACAUAAUCAGAAAAAAUACUCAUCAUAUACCUUUGGAAAGUGGCAGGAGCGUUACAGAGACCAAACGGCAUGCGUCGGUAAGCAAAUGUUCCGAAGGGGCAUGUGAAUGUCGUUUUCUCUUGGUCUUCCGGAGCGAUAACGAUCUGAUUAUAACCCGAGUAACCAUCAAGAAAACAAUAAUGAGAGUGACCACUUAACCUUUCAAGCAUUUGAUCAAUGAAUGGCAGAGGAAAAUGAUCAUUGCGAGUGGUUGCAUUCAGUUCAAACUCUCCACCCAGUUUGAACUCUAGCUGGCACAAGCUCGUUUUCUUCAUUCUUGACCACUGUGAUGCCUGAUUUUUUUGGAACUACCUGCACAGGACUCACCCAUUUACUAUCAGAAAUGGGAUAAAUAAUCCCCACAUUAAGGAGUUUCAGUAUCUCCUUUUUUACGACUUCCAUCAUUGGUGGAUUAAGGCGGCGUUGUGCAUCUCUCGUUGGUUUAGACCCUUCCUCUAGCAAAAUGCGAUGCAUGGAAGGACUAAUUCCCUUAAUGUCGGCAAUGGUCCAGCCAAUCGCCGUCUUGUGAUCCCGAAGCACCCUAAUUAAUUUUUCUUGUUGAACUGGGGUGAGGGUUUUAGCAAUUAUGACUGGAAGUGUUUCAUUCUCACCCAAGUAAAUAUAUUGCAUGUGUUCUGGGAGUGGUUUAAGUUCUAAGGUAGGUGCAUGCACAAUUGAAGGUAAAAGUUUCUCGUUUAAUAAAGGCAAUUCAAGGUAAGAAACAUUAUACCCAUGGGUGCGUAAUGUGACUGCUCCAUCUAAGAUCGCCAUAGCUUCCUCUACCUCAUCAUCCAACUUUAUCAAAUUUGCAUGUUCCUUAGAAUCAUCUUUCGUAAGAUUUUUGCUUAUCGAAAUUUCAAAACUGUCAUUACCAGAUAAUUCAAAGAAAUCUUGCACCAAAGUAUUAAUAUCAUCCAUGGCAAAAACAGAAUGAACAUCACUAGGAUACCUCAUUGCCUCAAAGAUAUUGAAGCGGAUCACUUCACCAUCAAAUUCCAUUGUGAGGGUUCCAUCGUGAACAUCAAUCUUGGUUCGGGCUGUCUUAAGAAAUGGCCGCCCCAACAAAAUAGGAGUGGGAUUGGGCGACAACUCAUCCUCCAUUUCAAGGAUAUAAAAAUCAGCUGGAAAGACCAAUUCAUUGACCUGCACAAGAACAUCUUCCAUAACCUCCUUCGGGUAAGCAUUAGAUCUGUCAGCCAAUUAAAUAAUUAUACCAGUUUCUUCCAUUGGACCUAAAUUCAAGGAGUUAUAAAUCGAGUAUGGCAUAACAUUAAUUGAGGCCCCUAAAUCUAGCAUACAUCUUUCGAAUCUGGUAUUACCAAUAGUGCAGGGGAUAAUGAAAGUACCGGGAUCCUUGCACUUAGGCGGAAGUUUUCUUUGAAGUACAGCAGAAACAUUCUCUCCAACACUUACCUUUUCGUUACCGCUCAACUUUCGCUUGUUGCUGCAUAAUUCCUUCAAAAACUUUGCAUAACGCGGCACUUGUUUAAUAGCAUCAAGUAGAGGAAUAUUUACCUCUACUUUACGAAAGGUCUCAAGGAUCUCUUUUCUUGCUCCUCUUUCUUGGAUUGUUUAAAUCUGCUAGGAAAUGGUGGAGGAAUGGAGAGAGUCUUAAUUCGAGGUGAGGGGAUACUUACCUUGCCAGAUGGAUCGACUGGCAAUGCCGAGUGGGAAUCAUCUUUCCUUGUUAAAGGAAGAACCUUAGGUGAGGAAUUGGUCACAGAAGGUGAUAAUGUUGUGGAUACUUUUGAUGGCUUAGCUAAUAAUGGUUCCAAUUGCUUUCUGCUCCUGAGAGACAUAGCACUAGCAUUCUCAUUUGGAUUAAUUUCUAGUUGAGAAGGUAACUUUCCUGAAGUUCUACCCUCCAUCCUACUCAUAGAUGUGGCUAGUUGGCCAAUUUGAUUCUCUAAAUGUUGGAGCUGUGUCUGGGUAGUCUGUUGGAAUUGCAUAGAGUUAGUAGCGAGAGCUUUUACAAGAUCCUCCAAAGACAUACCUUGAUUUUGAGGAGGUGGAGGUGGCCGAACUUGGUAAGGCUGUUGCACCCGGUGUUGGGGGUAGCCUGGUGGUCGAGACGGUGCCACAUUAGAAAUGCCUUGUUGUUGGUUCCCAUACCUAAAAUUAGGGUGAUCCUUCCACCCUUCAUUGUAAAAAUUAGAGUAGGGAUCAUACCUUUGUCUUGGUUGGCCUAGGAACCCCUCAACUGCGUUGGCUUGUUCAUGUGAACCCUCUUGGAUAGCAGGGCACAUGUCAGUCGCAUGUCCGACCAUAGAACAUACGCCACACGGUCUCAUUUGUUGCCCUAGAGCUAAUUGUUGCACCAAAGAAGUAAGAUUUGAAACUUGUUUUUCUAGAGAAGUAGUACUUACCUCAUUGACUCGCUUAGGUGGCGGCAGUAGAUCGUUCCUAGUGUUGAACUGUUGGGAAUUAGCAGCCAUGUUAGCAAUGAGAUUUCGGGCUGCUUCUGGUGUCUUAUCCACGAGUGCUCCUCCACUAGCGGCAUCAAUCAUACUCCUAUCCAUAGGUAGUAGACCCUCAUAAAAGUAUUGAAUAAGAAGUUGAUCACUUAUCUGAUGGUAAAGGCAACUAGCACAUAGCUUUUUGAAUCGUUCCCAAUAGUCGUAGAGCGGCUCUCCAUUAUACUGUCGGAUUCUACAAAUUUCUUUUCGAAUGCUACCAGCUUUUGAUGCUGGGAAAUAUUUCUCCAAAAAUAGCUGACGCAUCUCAUUCCAUGUUGUGACAGUAUCGGAGGGAAGAUAGUACAACCAUUCCUUGGCUGAAUCCGCCAAAGAGAAUGGGAAGGCCAUUAGCUUAACUUGCUCUUCAGAAACUCCGGCUGGUUUCAUUGUGGAGCAGACCACAUGGAACUCCUUCAAGUGCUUAUUUGGAUCCUCUCCUGCAAGACCAUGAAAAGUAGGAAGAAGAUGAAUCAUCCCAGAUUUGAGUUCAAAGUUUACCUGAGGGUUUGGAUUCUCAAUGCAUAAGGGUUGCUGGUCCAAGUUAGGAGCUGCCAACUCUUUAAGUGUUCGGUUGUUAUUCUGAGCCAUUGGUUCGGGUUCUGGGCUGCUUGGUUAUGUUUUCGGGAGUGAAAUGUGAAUGGCAAAAUCGAGUUCUGAAUAUGAUGAGGUUGCUCUAAGUUGUUCGAGUUUCAAUCGAAUGUCCUCUAUGCUCAUGAAAAUCUAAAUAUAGAACAAAAAAUAACUAAUUAAAAUAAAAUAAAUAAAUAAAAUGAGAAAAUAAAUAAAAAAUAAAAUAAAAAAUAAAACGAGUGAUAAUAAACAAACUAGACGCUAGUCCCCGGCAACGACGCCAAAAAUUUGGUAGUGUCGUUAAGGUGCACCAAAUUUAAAACUUUAUCACUAAUAUAAAUAAUUAGUACAGAGCGAGUAAGGAUCGAUCCCACAGAGACUAUGCUAGUUAUAUUUAUUAUUAACUCUAAAGCAAGAUUUAAAAUAAAAUAAUAGUAAUAAUAAUAAUAGUAAUAGUAAUAAUAAUAUAAAUUAAUCUAACUAAAGAAAAUGCCAAUUAAAAAUAAAAAGGGGGUUUAUGAAUUUUUAACUAAAUAGUAAGAAAUAAAGAAAUUAAAAUUACGAACAAGAAUUUAAUAAAAACUCUAAUUAAAGGAGAAAGAAAUAAUAAUGAUGAAAACUUUGGUUAAAGGAUCAUUCGCCACCACCAAACAUGCACAUAAUAUAUCAAUUCUAUCAUCAAUUUAUAUUAAAACUAUCAACCUUAGACAACAAUAAGCUCUGUUAGUCUCAAUCUUUCCUUAGUGUGUCGUUAGGCAAAAUAAGCUCUUCACUUAAUCUCUAACCAUUAAAUAAUUUAAAACAAGCUCUUUAAAUUUAAGAUAAUGGAAGCAUUAAACAGAGAAAGAUAUUAGGUUGAUCUAGGCAAUAAACACACAAGCUCGGAUUAUUUAACCUAGGUUAUGUUCUUCAAUUGAAAUCACUAAUUCCAACCUGCUACUAAUAAUUAAAAUAUCAAGACAAUUACGGAUCAAGAAUUUUAAUCUAGCAAUAAAAUUUAUUCAAGUCCUAUCUAAUUGGCCACUCAAAUAAAACAAGAAUAAACCAUGUACAUUAAUUAUAGAAGAACAUAAACAAUCUCAAUUAAAUAAAUUGAAUGAUAGAAUUUAAAUUUAAUUGCAUAGCAUGUUUAGGGUUUUGAAUUCACCCUCAACCAAAUAAAAAUCUAGCCUAACAUGAUUGAAUUGGAAAUAAGAGAAUUGACAAAACCAAUCAUGGAGAUUAAUUCAAGCGGCUGCCUUUUUCUUCAAUUGAAUUCCGGCUGCUGAUUUUUUUCUUCUUCUUGCGGCUGUUGAUUUUCCUCUUGCUGCCGAAUUGGAUCUGCCCUCUUCUUUUUUUCUGUCCAGCGGCUGCAAUCUCCUUUUAUAAUGCUAGUUGACGAAUUCUUCUCCAACAAGAAUAAAGAAAUCCUUUUUCAAUUCUAAUUGAAAUCCUUUUCCAAUUUAACACCACCAAAAGCCAUUAAUUCCAACUUUUGAAAGUCAAUUGCGGGCCCGUUUAAAUGCUUUCUACUUUUGCAAUGCCAUGCACGUGUACUCCAAUUGCCAAUUGGAAAAAAUUAAAUCUUUUAAUUAUUCAACAUUUCUCAAUUAGAUUAAUUAUUUUGAUUUCUUCCACUCGGUUUUAUCAAUUUUUGUCUGUAUUUUUGUCUUCCAAUUUAAUCUUUAUUCCUUCUCAAUUUGAACUUCUUAAUGCCCUUUUUAUUCAUAAUCUCCAAUUGAUUUCCCAUUCAAUAAAAUAAUUUAAUUAAUUAAAAAUAACAAAUAAAAAUAACUAGUAAUUAAAUAAUUAAGGGUAAAAUAUGUAUAAUUUAAAAAUUAACUAAAAUAACUAGAAUAUUUAAGACCAAAACAAGAAAAAGAUGGAGAAAUUAAUAGUAAAAUAUAUGAACAAUAUGCACUUAUCACCAAAAAAGAAAAAAAAAAAGGAAUAUGUUUGAAUAGGAUUAUGAAAUACUUUCUUAAUAAGCUGGACAAGGAGAGAUGAUAUCUUAUGAGCAUUAUAAUUCAUAAUUUGAGGAAAAACCAUUUUAAUGGAGCUUCCAGCCCAACGUACAUACACAAACACAAUCAGUAAGAUUUAACAUAAGAAAUUACCGGGAAAAAGAAACAUCACAAAUCAAUCUGUACAAGUUCAUGUGACACUGCAUGGUAAACAUAUGUAACCUCUCUUGGAAACUUAGCUUGUGACAAGCUCACAUUUUCUGUGUUUUCGUUCAAAAAAGGUUUCAGACACAUUAAUUCCAGGCUGUGGAGGAUCACAUGCCUCGUUGCCCAAAUUUUUAAAGCCACAUACAUUGGUAUUUGCACGCAUGGUCAAUGAGUUACACAACUCUGUCGUCUACUUGAGUUGACCAAGCAAACUGAAUUUGUGAACUUUGACCGACAUAAAUAACCCAAUGCUAACAUGUUUGGAAUUAAAUCAAGAUUGUGAGUCCAAAUGUACUCCCCUACAAACUUGUCACCUGUGCAUCAAGACAAAGUCUUAUAGCACUAAGAAUGGACAUGGGAAUCUCUAAGCAACAACCUCCUAAUAACAUAAAAAUCAAGGUUGGUGUGGGAUAAAGCCAUUCAAAUGGACAUGUAAAGGGUAACUUUGAUGAAUAAGGGUUUAAGAGAAACAAUCUCAUCACAGAGUAUUUCAAUUGGAGCGGAUGAAGAAACUAACAUGAAACAAGCUCACUUAUCUCUAUUUAUUUUUCAAUUUUCACAGAUCCAAAAUCUAAAAUUAUCAUUUUGAGCUACCCUCAAUUAGUAAGCACUGCAUUGUCACUGCUUUCUUCUGAAAUUUUCCAUCAGCAGAAAAUCUCUAACAAAUCAAAACAAGACUUACCAAGUUUCAUAAGUAUCAAAACAAAAACGAGCAAAGGUCCACAGGGAAGUUCUAGAAUGAAAAAUACUAAUGACGUUGUUACAGUGAAUCUCAGGGUCCAUUUUUCGUGAGGUUAAUGGUUGCAUUCUAGGUUGUGUUGCUCUCAUUCUUCAGUGUUCAUUCAUCUUUUUAUGGUAAGUUGCAUGCAUUUGUUUUGUCUUCAGAGGUUAUGGUGGAAUUGUUUGCACCAUCUAUGUCUUUACGUGCACCCCUUGAUUAUACUCGGCGGGAUAAAUUUUGCACUUACUUUUAAAAAAAAUAAAUAAAGAAUCCCCCGUGGGGAAGUCAAAGUGCAAUACGAAUUUAUUAGUGACGAGGACACAGAGAUUUGACAUGAUAAUUAAUCAUCUCGUUAUGAUGUGUUAGUGUCUAAUUCACAAAUUCGUGUAAUAAAUUGCCACCCUUUCGUGUGAGACUAUUGUUAAUUUUAUUGUUCCCUUAAUAAAGUGUAAGGUAGCUUUACAUUGCUUCCAAUCCAAGGCUUAUAGCAUUAGCAUGAUUAACAUAUAUAGUAGCAUCGUAAACAAUGAUUGGAAUCCUGACAUCUUUGGUAGUAUGAUUAUAGAAAAUUGCGACCAUGUUUGGGUAGCUUAGUUUAAAAGUUACUGCAUUGAAAUAUUAAGUAAAUAUUAGCUGUUAUAACUAGAAAAAUUUAUUAUAUCUUUAAUUUUAUACUUAUAUGAUAGAAAAUUUAUUAUUUCUUUAUUGAUUUUGUCAAAAUUAUUAUUUAAAAAUUAGAUAUUUACCACAUACUAAAUCAAGUUAAAUAAUAGGAAAUAAUUAAUUACAAGUUAAUUAAAUUAGAAAUAUGUGUCUAACCAUUAGAACUACGUAUAUCAAGUUAGUUAAUUACCAAGGAAAGAAUUAAUAAUAAAUUUUCAUUAUUUAAUUACGAAACCGAUAACUAUAUAUUAGGAAAACUAUAAUUUUAUGAAAACUGAAGAUCAGUACUAAUAUAAAACUAAAACCAACAAUAAUUAUAUGAUAGGAUAACAACAAAUCUAGUAUAUAUUAAAAAACACGUCGAUUCUGAAGCUGAAUUUAUAAUCCAACCUUAAUUCUAUUUCUUCUGUAUUUACAUAAUCAUCCCGCUAAUUAAGGAUUUUACAACUUUGCCAUGAAAGUUCGGUGGCUUCCAUGCCUUUUUCUUCUCCUCCUCAAAAAUUUUGCUUUUGCUUCCACUUCACCAUUAAAGAAAAUCCCAAAGCUUGGUGUUGUGCGUGGAAGGACUAUUUUUCUAAACCCUAGUAUAAAAAAUAUCAACUUCAGAACCAGAGGGUAAUAUCGAAACUUAUUAUUAUGAUCAAAUACUUGAUCACUUUAACUAUAAUCCAUUAAGUUAUUUAACUUUUCCUCAUAGAUAUGUGUUGAACUUCAAGCAUUGGGGCAGUGGCGGAGCCAAUAUUGGCAUAUCUUGGUGAAGAGAGUAGUCUUGAUGAUGACCUUGGUGGCACUGCAUGGCUUACUGAUAAUGCUCAUCGAUUUAAAGCCUUACAAGUUUACAUAGAGGUACGUAAUUAAAGAAUCUAUUAUCAAGCUUAAUUUAAAAAUUACAGCAUUAAAAUAUCAGGUAAAUAUUAGCUGUUGUAACUAGAAAAAAUUAUUAUAUCUUUGAUUAUGCACUUAUAUGACAGAAAAUUUACUAUUUCUCUACUGAUUUUAUCAAAAUUAUUAUUUACAAAUUAUAUAUUUACCACAUACUAAAUCAAGUUAAUUACUAGCAAAUAAUUAAUUACAAGUUAAUUAAAUUAGAAAUAUGUGUCCAACCAUUAGAACUACGUAUAUCAAGUUAGUUAAUUACUAAGGAAAGAAUUAAUAACAAUUAGGAAAGAAUUAAUAACAAAUUUUCAUUACUACGUAUUUAGUUACGAAAUUGAUAACAAUAUAUUAGAAAAACUAUAAUUUUAUGAAAACUGAAGAUCAAUACUAAUAUAAAACUAAAACCAACAAUAAUUAUAUGAUAGGAUAACAGCAUUAGCACAUAACCUCCAUUGGUGUUGUUGAGCGGCUGGUCGAGCGAGGCUUGGCACCAUCACAUGCUUGUCGCAUCUUGAGAAAAGUCGUGUGACACUAACCUUAUGGUACUUAAUUCUAUGUUGUUAUUGUUUAUUUGAUUACAAGCCUCUAAAUGAUGUUUCAGAAUUGAAGGAUUAUUUAGAGUAUAUGUAUACGGGUGCAACUUUGUAUGAUGAUCCUCAGGAAUAUCCAAUGAACAAAGCUUGUAAUGGUAUUGAUGGAGCUUCAGAAGGCACCGAUACCCUAAGCCGAAUAUUCUCAGGAAUUGUUGCUUUAAGAGGAGAAAGUUAUUGCCAUGAUGUUGAUGAAUUCUUCUCCGAUGAAACAUUGGGAGGCACCGAAAUCUAUGGUCUUUAAAAAUUCUCAUGGCACUCCCAUUAACAUACUAAGUCUGCUUAACCCAUAGGUGAGUGAACCCAUAGGUGAGUGUAAUCUUCUUUUACAUCCAAUUUAAUUAAAAAAUAACAAUUAUCCAAUAGAGAAAUCUUAGAAUUUCCUUUUUUAUCCCAACGAGCUAAAAAAAUUUCUAAUUAAUUACAUAUGAGGGCGAUUGUAAGAUAACUUACCGACCAAAGUCAACUGGAAUGGAAUAGCCAUUGCUUUGACUAACUCUACGGAAAACUACACGUUCGGCUCACCCACGUACGAAGAGAUUUUCUUGAUGGGGACUGUCGAGGGUGUGGGCUCGUUUAUAAUUUCAGCAAAGGAUUUUUUUAUCGGCCUAUUUAAAUUUCGAUUAGGAGUUGAAGUCAAAACUGAUGCAUAUGUCGGGAUGAAAGUGGGCUGAUUUUGAGGUUCGUUUUGAGCCGCUGGAUUAGAGGAAUUAUUGGUUUGGGAUUAGGGAUGGUAAAAUCUGGGUCCGGGUUUGGCCUUUCUGGUUCCGGACUCGGAUGAGAAUUCGUCUUACCGGAUCCGGAUAAAAACUUGAAUUUUUUGAGUGCGGGUCUGAUACGGGUUAAACCCGGAUAAUUUGUUUUGGUACCUAAUUUCUCUCAUUUGCUUUGAAAAACCCUUUAUCAAACUUUUCUUGCUGCAACUUGCAAGGAAUAAAUGAUGAAGUGAUGAAUAUUAAAUAACUAAAGCCAGAUUAUUAUCAACAAGAUCACUCAACCAAAGCUUCUUGAAUUCGCAAUCUUAAAAGGGAAUUUUUUUUUUCAAGAUCCCAUUUAUAGCCUUUAAUUGUUUUGCAAUUGCCUUGUUCGUACUCCCAUCAAAUCACAAUCCAAUACCCUUCCAAUAAUCAGAACCUAAAAUGAAUGAAAUCACAUUCUUGGGCCAACUUCUCGAAAAUAUAGUUGAUGAAACUGCUUGCCCGUGGCCUUGCUGGAGAUUUCAAUAUCGAGGUGGACUUGCUUCAGGAUUGGUCUUCUUCGUCUUGUUCUUCUUUUUCUCGACUGUAUUGCCGUCUUUGGUGAUGACUAUUAAUGAUUUGUUUCGGGCUUUAGUGGUGAGGAUGAGGAAUAAAGCACGAUUCACGAUGAUUUGAUGAGGAAAUAUUUGGCUUUCGGCUUUGGCGGCGCGGCUGUGAAACUGAAACUAGGGCAGAGCUGCUAUUUCUUUUUUCAAUAGUUUCUAUUUAUAUUUAAAAAAAUAUAAAAAUAAAUACACCCGGGUUCGGGUUUCAGAUUUGCUGUUUCACCCAAAUCUGGAUCUGGACCCGAAUAUGUCUGAGUUUAGAAAAUCACAUCUAGAUUCUGGAUUUAAUUUAGUCCGGUGUAGGUUAAAUCCGACCCAGAUUAUUCGGGUUUGGUUGGGUUCGGGUUAAAUUGUCAUCCAUAUUUGGGAUUGAUUUUGGACUUGCAGACUUAUAUUGGAUGAUUGGGCUUUUUGUGGUUUAAUGGAUUGACAUUGGUUUUGGGAUUGAGAAUUUAAGUUGGAUGUAUGGAUAUUAGUGGGAUGGGCUUCCAAGUGCAUUUGGGCUUGUGAGUUAAAUGUUGAAUGGUUAUGGAGGGUGUAGAAACUAAGGUGCUAUUAACAGACUAAGCAACCUUAGAUUCUGCCCUAAGAUCACCAACCAACUAAUCAAGAUGCUGCAAGAUUGAUGACGGAAAAGCUACGACUAAGAUGAAUCUAUGGAACUAGACGAUUAACCAAUUUGGAUUAAAGAAUCAACAUAAGUAGAGCAAUCAAAGAACAAAAGAAACUUAAUGUGGUUCAACUAGAUUUCUCUAGCUUACAUCCACGGGAGGGCAAAGAAUAACUUUAUUGAUUUAACAAGAUGAAUUACAGAGUAAUGCUUUUUUUUUUUACCACAGAAAAGAUCUGAACUGAUUAUAUAUAAACCAGUCCCUUCUCUCUCUUCAGCUCUCUCUGCACACCAAUCUGUUGCUUCCACAUCAGCUGCUCGAUAACAGCUUCAUAACGAACCCAGAAAUUCCCCAGCAACUCACGUGAGUUCCUCAUGCGUUUAACGGCUUUUAACGAACCUUGCAAGCUGGACACAAGCAUGUGAUACAAGCGUGCUUCACUUAGACUUAAACGACAAACUCACAUGUCGUUCAUAAGAGUAUUUCUUUUGCUCUUCAAAACGCAAGACUCCAUGUCGUUGAGCUUAAGUGAUUUCAGCUCUAAACGCAAAGGCUUCUGCCGUUUUGGUUUUCUGGACUUGCUUUCAUAAACAACAGAGGGUUUCAUGAUUACGGUGGGCAUUGCAAGUAUUAGGGGUAGAAAAAUUUUGGGGGGAAGAAAAAUAAGCCGAAAGUUGUGCAUUUGUUGGUGGAAUUGAGGGGUUUGAUUUUGAAUGAGUGGGAGACAAAAGCGGGUCCCCUGCACUAUUUGAAUGUUGGCUUUUUGGUGAUGCCAUAGGAAAAGUGUUAUGAGUAUAUGUGUUUUGUGAGGCUGCAUGUUGAUUUUUGGCUUGAGUGGAGGCAUGUGAGGUAAUUUUGGAAAUCUUUGAUGCAUGUGAAGGCUUUGAAAUGUUGAGCUCAUAGGGGACGACAUUAAUUGAGCACGGCUGACUUUGUGGACUUUGUGAAAGAGAGUUAUGGGCGUGAUUGUGUUUGUGUGUGGUCAAAAGCUGCAAGGGGUUGUCGAGAUUUUCCGAAUUUUUGCAUGUGGGUUGGGCCGAAGCAGGCUGUCUUGGCUGACUUUCGGCAGAUGCCGUUUGUGUACCAAAACGUGUGCGAUCAAGGGGCUGUUCAGAAGCUUCAUCUCGACCAUGAACGGUGGUUGCAAAGUUAACAGCCGAGAGUUGUUUUUUGAGCUUGUACAGGGGCUGUGAUGGCUGGAUCUUGUGAUUCACCAUGUUUAACUUGUUCACGGUUGGAGGUGCAAACUUUGGUAUGCGAUGAGGGGUUUUGGUCACGGCUUUCUUCCACUUCCUCUAGUGGUUGAUUAUAGAGUCCGUUUAAUUAUAUACCUUUUUCUUUUUCUUCUUCUUUUUUUUUUUCGAGAUUAUAGGGUUCUGGAAGAUAUAUCAGACAACAUAAUAACAGUGAUAACAAGAAACGGUAUGUAAAUUUUCUGUAAAAUAAAAAAAAAUUAGUGUUCAAUUAUUAACUAAAUUAUUGGAUAACAUAAUUAAUAGUGUGUAAAUUAGAGCAGGUUCCCAUUGCUUAGACAUACAGCCAGCAACAGAAGAUGAUCCAGAGUGGUUAGUAAUGCAGCGAAAGACUGAAGUGGACAUGGUUCAUGAUUGGGUCCUCAAAUACUCUGCAGAUUUGCUUCAAAAUCAGGGCAUAAGAUUAAAUUGGGACUACAAAAUUAGUCUUUUCUUUUUCUUCCUCUCCACUAUCUUUCUAAUAUUUAUGGAUCAAAGAUAAAUAAUAGUGCACCUGGCUAGUUGUAGAUUUCAUUUUCAUAAUUCUUAAUUUGGGUUGUCUAAAUGUGUAGAACAAGUGUGCAGUAUUACUUAAUGUAAAGCACAUAUAAAGGGCUCAUCAUAUGGUGAAUAUCAAUUCAUAUACAAUCACAUUGGAUUAACCAUUUUUGCCCUUUGAUUUAAGAGUUACUGUAUAGGUCCUUGAAGCCAGGGAGAGAAAAAGAAUUUGCCCUCCAUAUACAUGUAUCUCUCAAAACUUAGGUGUUUAUCCUUAUAUGCUCCGUUUAUUAGUAGCCAAGCUUAUGAGUACAUUGCUCCAGGUGAACCUGUUCCUAUUCUCCUACAUAAUAGCUUCUUCUAUUAAUUAUUUGACAAUCUCAUGCAAUUUCUAUUAAUUAUUUGACAAUCUCAUGCAAUUCCAAAGACUUAGGAUUUUGAGAUUUUGGUGGCUGAUAAAAUAAGCAACCUCUAAUAUGCGGAUGAAAUAAGCUAAUGAUUACAAAAGAAGCUUACUCAGUAUUUGGUAAUUUUGAUUACGAAUUUAUAUAUUAGCGUUUAUAAAAAAAAAGUAAGAUAAAAUUAUUCUUUUCUUAAAAUAUUAAAGUUAUAAUAGAACCUUUAAAAAAUAUGGCAUUUUGUUUAAUAAGUUACUUUAAUAAGUUGCUUAUAAAACAUAAUCUCAUACUUGUUUUAAAAGCUAUUGUCAAAAUGGAGAAAAUAUGAAUUAAACUUUUAACAAAUUUACCAAACAUCAUUUUUAUCAAAACUUAUAAAAUAAGUUGUUUAUAGUAUUUCAAUCAUAAUCCCAAAUAGGACAUUAGUCUUUGUUCAGAAUAAGGUUAGGCAUUGAAUACGUGUACACGCAUAAACUAAAAUAUCUAGACUGAAGAAACAGCUUGACUUAAUAAGUCUACUUCAUUCUUUAUUUUCCACAGCAUGUGUCACGAGUAAGUUCCAAAUAAUUGCUAACUAGGAGAAGAAGUCUUUAAAGUCAAGGUGAUUAGAUUCGCAUGUUACGGAAUUACGUAUCGGAGGGGUUCCCUGCUCUCCACUUAAAAAGAUGCCUUAAAAAGUUAAAUAUUAAAUAAUACGGCAUUUUUAAAUUUAAAAAAUUGUAAAAUAUAUAUAAAAAAUUAAAAAUUAAAAAAAAAAAACUUUUUUUUAAGUGCGUGGAGGUUUGAACGGCAACUACAGGAUCGCUUCACGAUGAACUUCAGAUGUGCAAGACUAAGGCAGGCCUAGCACGAUUUGGGCCAACAUUCGUAAACUCAGGAAGGGGGACGGAAGAGAGAGCAUUUUGGUUUAUAUUUUACUCAUAUACACACGAGUAAUUAUAUACAAACCUUUCAUGCCUUAACUAACUUUUUCACGUGGGACAAAUGUAUUUUCCUUUAAUUUUCCAAUUCCAUGAAUUUAAUUUGAGUAACAAUUUCUCAUUUAUCCAAUUUGAUCAUGUAGAGAAAACCAUUAUGAAGUAUUUAUGGAGGAAUAUUUGAAACAAUUUUAACCUUUCACUUACACUAGGUAGGUCUGACUCAAAAUCACACCUCAAAUAGCCACUUGUGCUAUAUUUCUAACACUUUCUACUUCUUUUCCUUAUUUGAUUGCAUGCAAAAAAAUUGAGUGCAAUGAAAUUUUUAUCUUCUUUCGUCUAUGAUGUUUUGGUGUAAAAAAAAAAAAAAAUUAAAAUGGAUGUUAGGUAGCCCAUGAACUUCCAUAGUUUGUAUGUUACAAAAGGAGUUUUGUAACUAUUUUAAAAAAGAGUAAUGAUAUAGCCACAAUCUUUUAUACAAACUUAUCUUAUACAAACUGAUGUGACAUGAUAAAAUUGGUUAAAUUAAAUAUCUCUUGGCUCACAUGAUUUAUUUUCAUUAUUUUAUAUUUUCAUUCAAUCAAUAAAUUGAUGCCAUAUCAGUUUGUACAAAAUAAAUUUGUACAAGAGUUUAUGGCUGUAUCAUCACUCUAAAAAAUAAAGAGAUUAUUUUGAUUAUUUUGUCAAAUCACAGGAGUCUACACAUUCUUUUCUCUAUGGUUAUUUAUAAUAUUACACCUACACGUUUUUUUUAUACAAAUUAAAUUUAUACAAAGAUAUGGUUAGUUCUUGUUUAUUUUCCCAUGAGUCAUAAUUUACAACAACAAUUCUUUGAGCUUCUUUUUCUUUUUAUUAUUUUGGGUAAUAUUUAAUAUCUUAAUAAUGCUAUUAAUUAUUUCUAAUAUUUUCCAUAUUAUCUCAUGUUUCUGCAAUGUUGUUCAAAUAGAUCUACACCACACAAAUACAAGCCAAUAAGGUUAUAUCUCCAUGAUUGAAUCCAUCUAGAGAAGACCUUGACUCACACUCUUUGAAAACGCGUAUUGGAAAUUAACACCGGGAGGUUGAAAAACAAUUAAUUCUUAUAUAAACGCUUUGCUGAGAAUCAAAUGUAGCUCAAUCAACCGAAAACCAUUAUAAACAUGGCAUCAGCGUCCUCUGUUUCGAGACUGGUGGUCAUUAUAAUUUUAAUUAAUGUUGGUACUAUAAGUGAUACGACGAUAUCUGUAACAGCAUCAGCUGCUGCAGGAUUAUUGUCGUCACCCAUACAGUUAGAAAGGAAAGCUUUACUUGCUACGGGCUGGUGGGUCAACAUUUGGCCGACGGGCAACCACACGUCCGAUCCUUGUAAGUGGACUGGCAUCAGUUGCAAUUCAGCGGGAAGCGUAAUCGGGGUCAACUUACUCUGGUAUGAAAAUGAUAACAUCAACGGAGAGCUUGGUCGUUUCAACUUCUCUUGCUUUCCCAACCUCAAAAGUUUCAAAAUUCAUUCAAAUUAUCUUCUCUCUGGGAGCAUUCCAUCCGAAAUUGCUGCCGUUUCAAUGCUCCAAACUCUUGAACUGCCCUCCAACAAUCUUACCGGUAUGCUACGAAACUUCACUAUAUAUAUGUAUGUAUGUAUGUAUGUAUGAAGUCGUGCUCAUGCUUGAAGCAGGCGUCUGUUUUUACAACACUGAAGAAGUUUUUUUUUAUGAGGAUUUCUUUAUAAAUUUUAUUUGCUAUGAGGAUAGUGAAUACUGAUCUCGUUUUUUAUAAAUCACAUGCGCAACAGGAAUUAUCCCUUCAGAGAUGGGGAGAUUGAGGAAGCUCGUCCACCUGGAUCUAUCUGAUAAUUACCUCUCAGGAUAUAUCCCUCCAACUCUUGGUCGUCUAAGCAAAUUGGAAAAUUUGAACCUGUCUUCUAACGGCCUUGAUGGUAAUAUCUCUCCAACUCUUGGUCGUCUAAGCACAUUUUUGUUGUGUGAAAGUGAAACUGUAUAAUAAAUUUCUACAUCUUUGUUUAUUACUUCGGUAGUGUUUUAAUUUGGAGAAUAUGCUGGUUGGCUUUUUUUCCUUCAAUUUUUGUAUGAAAUGAAUCGGCUUCAAGUGUCAGUUUCUUUUCCAAAUUGCAUCCAUCAAUUGCAAUUGUUACAUUGGGCGAUUACAAGUUGUACGUAAUUAUUAAGGAAGGCACGUUUAAGCAUUUUUGGUUUGUACGUUUUCCUCCUUUUUUUUCCCCUUUGCAUUAAAAAUCAUGGUUAUCCUAUAAAAGAUAUGAUUACAAAUUAAAAGCACUAUUUCUAAUUUCACACAUACACAGUUCCUUAUUAAUUUAUUAAAUUUACUUUUGUAUUUACAGGAUAGGGUAGUCAAUUGAGAGCACUGAGAGUGAUUCUCUCUAAUCUCCAUAAUUUUGUAUUAAUUUAUUGAUAUAUUUGUUGCAUCUGCAGAUUUAACUUUCAGUCUAAAAUAUGCAGCAUUGACGAGCCCCAAAAAAAAAAAAGAAAAAAAAAACUAUUGGAGCACUAAAAAAUCUAUUAAUUUUUACAACCUAAGCAUUUCUUUAUAAAUUUUAUUUCUAUGAGGAUAGUGAAUACUGAUCUCGUUUUUCAUAAAUCACAUGCGCAACAGGAAUUAUCCCUUCAGAGAUGAGGAGAUUGAGGAAUCUCGUCCACCUGGAUCUAUCUUUUAAUUGCCUCUAUGGAUAUAUACCUCCAACUCUUGGUCGUCUAAGCAAAUUGGAAAAUUUGAACCUGUCUUGUAAUGCCCUUGAUGGUAAUAUCCCUCCAACUCUUGGUCGUGUAAGCAAAUUGAAAAAUUUGAACUUGUCUGCUAACUCUCUUGCUGGUAAUAUCCCCCCCACUCUAGGUCAUCUAACCCAUCUAACUACUUUGGCUAUUGCUUGGAACCAAAUUAAUGGUUCCAUCCCAUUAAGAAUCGGGAGUUUGAAGGCUCUUCAAGUUCUUGACUUGUCCAUAAAUGAAAUUGAAGGUUCAAUUCCUUCAACACUUGGCCAUUUAAAGAGAUUGAGAAGUUUAGACUUGUCCGGUAACAAUCUUGUUGGUCCAAUCCUUUCGUCUGUGGGUCAUUUGACUCGGCUAACAACUUUUGAUAUGCACUCAAACCGAAUCAAUGGUUCCAUCCCAUUAGAAAUCGGAAAUUUGAACUUUCUUCAAGUUCUUGACCUCUCCUACAACAAACUUGAAGGUUCAAUUCCUUCGACCAUAGCUAGUUUAGUCAACCUAACAUCUUUGUUCUUGUGCAAUAAUAGUCUAACUGGAUCUAUUCCUUCAACACUUGGUCGUUUAAACAGGUUGACAAGUUUAGACUUGUCCGGUAACAAUCUUUUUGGUCCAAUCCCUUCGUCUGUGGGUCAUUUGACUCAGCUGACAACUUUUGAUAUGCACUCAAACCGAUUCAAUGGUUCCAUCCCAUUAGAAAUCGGAAAUUUGAACUUUCUUCAAGUUCUUGAUAUGUCCCACAACAAACUUGAAGGUUCAAUUCCUUCGACCAUAGCUAGUUUAGUCAACCUAACAUCUUUGUUCUUGUGCAAUAAUAGUCUAACUGGAUCUAUUCCUUCAACACUUGGUCGUUUAAACAGGUUGACAAGUUUAGACUUGUCCGGUAACAAUCUUGUUGGUCCAAUCCCUUCGUCUGUGGGUCAUUUGACUCAGCUAACAACUUUUGAUAUGCACUCAAACCGAUUCAAUGGUUCCAUCCCAUUAGAAAUCGGAAAUUUGAACUUUCUUCAAGUUCUUGAUCUGUCCCACAACAAACUUGAAGGUCCAAUUCCUUCGACCAUAGCUAGUUUAGUCAACUUAACAUCUCUGUUUCUGUGCAAUAACAGUCUAACUGGAUUUAUUCCUUCAACACUUGGUCAUUUAAAUAGGUUGACAAGUUUAGACUUGUCCGGUAACAAUCUUGUUGGUCCAAUCCCUUCGUCUCUGGGUCAUUUGACUCAGCUAAUAACUUUUGAUUUGCACUCAAACCGAAUCAAUGGUUCCAUCCCAUUAGAAAUCGGGAAUUUGAAACAUGUUGAAGAUGUGUACCUAUUCAACAACAAACUUGAUGGUCCAAUUCCUCCACAACUCAUGAAUUGCUCAAAGCUGGGGGAAUUACGUUUGGGAAACAACUUGUUAAGGGGAAGCAUCCCGUUAGAGAUCGGCAAACUUAAAGAACUAUAUUAUCUUGAUCUGAGCCAUAACUCCAUUAAUGGUAAAAUACCUUCCCAGCUUGGAGAAAUUCCACGCAUAGAUACCGUGAACCUUUCCAUGAAUAACCUCUCUGGUAGUAUCCCUGAAUCUGUCAUAAUUGUGCCACACUUAUAUGUGUCAGGCAACAAUUUGGAGGUAGAAAUCCCAAAUACUUCGGCAUAUGCGCCACCGCCACAACAGUCUGAAGGCAAUAAAGACAAGCACAAAAAGAUUGCCACUCGAUUGGUUGCAAUUGUUCUUCCUAUGGUCGCAUUGCUUGCCUUGAUAUUCGGAAUCUUGUUUGUCCAUAGACGAAGGGAUAAGAAAGUUGAACCAGUUGAGACAGGAGAAAUCACCAAGUGCGCUGAUGAGUUUGCAAUUUGGAAUUACGAUGGUAGAAUUACAUUUCAAGACAUGAUUGAAGCUACUGAGGAUUUCCAUAUCAAAUACUGCAUUGGAACCGGGGGCUACGGCAGCGUUUACCGAGCACGACUGCCCAGUGGAAAAGUAGUUGCUUUGAAGAAGCUUCACCGUUCAGAAACUGAGGAGUUAGCUUCCCUCGAGAGUUUCCGGAAUGAGGCUCGUCUACUGUCCCAAAUACGGCAUCGAAAUAUCGUAAAGCUUUACGGGUUUUGUUUGCACAGGAAAUGCAUGUUCUUAAUCUAUGAGUACAUGGAAAUGGGAAGCUUGUUCAUUGUUCUGCGCACAGAUGGGGAAGCUGUGGGGUUGGAUUGGGCUAAAAGGGUGAACGUUGUGAAGGGCAUGGCUCAUGCUUUGUCAUACUUGCAUCAUGACUGCACACCACCAAUUGUUCACCGGGACAUAUCAAGCAACAACGUUCUACUCAACUCAGAAUUGGAAGCAUUUGUUGCCGACUUUGGCGUUGCUAGAUUAUUAAAUUUUGACUCAUCCAAUCGAACUCUAUUGGCUGGCACUUAUGGAUAUAUUGCUCCAGGUAAUCUUCUAGCUAUUCUUCUUGUGCUUCUUUAAUUAUUCUUUUAAUUAAUUUCCAUAUGCACUUUGUUAAGUAAGUUUUAAGCAGUUUUAUUUAGUUAGCUACUUAGGUUCGAAUUUUGGAAUAAGUAAGGUGCUGAAAGAUAAAUUUGAACUUUGCCUACCCGUUUAACUUUUUUUUAAAAAAAAAAAAUUACACAGUUUAAAAAUCAAUUAAAAAAAUAUGUUUCUCUGUCAUACCUUGCUGCAGAAGCUCAAAAAUAUAAACAAAUUGCUCUUGUUAUUGUUUAUGGAAACAUCACUAAUAAAGGCUUCUGUUUUCAUACAGAACUUGCCUACACCAUGGUUGUGACGGAAAAAUGUGAUGUUUAUAGCUUUGGAGUGGUGGCACUAGAAGUACUAAUGGGAAAGCAUCCAGGAGAGCUCCUCUCAUCGUCAUCUUGGUCAUUGGAUAAAAAUAUUAAGCUAAUUGAUUUGCUGGACCCACGCCUCUCACCUCCGGUGGAUCAAAAGAUUAGGCAGGAUAUCAUUCUUGUUUCAACAGUAGCAUUUUCAUGCUUGCGUUCUCAACCAAAGUCUCGACCUACAAUGCAACUCGUGUCCAACGAAUUUAUCGCUCGCAAUAAGGCACCAAUGCAAAAACCUUUUCAUGAAAUUUCAAUUUUGGAGCUUAGAAACCAAGAAAUGUAUUUGGUUGAUUAAUGUGAUAUCUAAUUAUGGAUACGUAUAUUUAACUGUUCAUGUAUGUGAUGGGAUUGCUUCUAAUCCUAAUGGAAUUUUCCAAUAAAGGUGACUGUUAAUUGGUUCUGAUGAAAUUAUUAAGUAGUAGCAAUGUAGCAAAUAUUAUGUGUUCGACGAAUUGUCUCCCUUAGUAUUAUUAAUUCUAUUUACACGUUCACUUCCUAUACAUGUUGAAUUGCAAUUAAACGAAUGUGCAAACUACGACAUUAAUCUCUCUGGUAAAGCUAGUGCUGAUAAAAUAAGGUCUGUCUGAUUGUCUCCCUCUGAAUGAGCUGAAUUAAACAGGAUUUUAAGGAAUUUAAGGUUGUAUCUCUACGAGUUAAAAGGGUAAAUUGUCAUUUUAAUUAUUAGUUUAUUUUACAAAUUAUAUAUAUAAACUUUCUCCAGAGCGAGGUUCUUGAUGUCACGUUACUUAAUAUAUUAGUUUCUUCACUCCUUUGUAAAUAUUCACACAAACAUAUAUAAUAAAUUUUUAAUUUAGCCGAUGCGAUCAAACAUCCUGGACCCACCGCUGAUGUUAGGAAGCUUCUGCACAAGUUGUGGUUAGUGAUGUCCCACCAACUGCCUGCCACCACAAGAUAAACUAAUGUAAGGUCAUGAUCAAGAAAAAUUUGCAUUGAGCCGAAGAGUCCAAUGUCAUAAUCAUGCAUCUAUGAAGUGCAAGAGUAGAGAACAACACACGAUCCCCAUUACAGUAUUGUUGCUUGCACUUAUAGGCUCCAUCAAUCAGUACCUUCAAAUCCAUAUAUAAUGAGAUGGAAGAAGGAACUUAAAUUUAUUAUUGUAAUUUUCAACUUUUAAAAUGAUAAAGUAAGUCGCGGCUGGUUCAUUGAAAUUUAAGACAUUCAAAAUGAAGUGCAAGAGCAAAAUAAAAGUUAAGAGCUUUACCUUCAGCAUAACAAGGAGUCUGCUGUAUCAGGCCGACUUUAUCUGCCUCUAUAGACCACCACCUCUUCAUCAUCAGCCUUCCCAAUAACACUUUCUGCUGUUUCUUCAUUUGAUUCUUCGACCACUACAGCUUCACCUUCAACAUCCUCGGUAGGCUCUGAUGGUGUCAUAAUUGUUGUGCUGGUGGUCAGGGGGACAGCUUCAUUAUUUUUCCUAGAUCCAUUUGUCAAACUUCACGACAGCAGAGUGAAUACCAACUUGACAAACUUCACACCAGAAUUCGAAAUUCUCUCUAAGAGGAAGUUUUCUCUUCAUCGUCUCUCCAGUCGGUAUUCCAUUUGUCAUCUUCUGAGUGUUUGCAUUCAAGUCCUUCUUCUUUAGCAGCUCCUUAUUUUUGUUCUCUGAAUCUUCUUCACUCUCCACUUUCUGGUCUAAACCAACAACAGUUUUAAUAGCUUUAACUGAUUCCUCUUCUACUUUAGCUUUCAUUUUUUGCCCAGCACUUUCUGGUCUUAACCCACUUUCUGGUCUACUUGUCUUUCCAGAAUCUUUUGAUGUCGAUGAAGAUGAGGUAGUGCACAUCUUCUGAGCUCCAAUUAGGUCCGCUUCCUCCGCCUUGUGCUUCUCACCUUGAAGAUGCUCAUCUUGACCGCCCUCCACUUUCUGGUCUAAAUCAACGAUAUUUUUAUUCGGUGUAACUGAUUCCUCUUCUAGAGUAGCCUUAAUUUCCUGGCCAGCACUAUCUCUGCUUUCAGUAGAGUUUUUUGAAGUGGAGUUACUGCACAUCUUCUCAUCUCCAAGUAGUCCUUCUUCCUGGCCUUGUGCUUCUUGCCGUGAAGAUGCUCAUCUAGAUCUCUUGUUAGAGUGCAAUUUAUGCACUAAUUUUGCAUUGUUUACUUCUCUUAAUAUCGAUGUUUUGCACUAAAUAAUAAUGAUUUACUUGUGUUUUACUUUUGUAGGUGCAAUUCUAUUGAUUUGUGAUAAAAUUGAGCUAUAAGAUGAUGUUUAAAGAUGAUUGUUCUCUUGGAGAAAUUAUGAGCGGCAGAAGAACUUUGUUGAUAAGGCGUGGGCGCGUGCUGUCAACUACGGACCUGCAGUUUUUAGUUUAACGUGUUUUGUAUUUUUGGUUAUUUUUGUAAUUACGAAUUUAAUAUUUCAAAUAUUAGUAUUUUAUUUUAAAUAGAAUUCUAGAGAAGAAGAGAGAGAGAGUAUUUAAGGGAGGAAUCUAUUGUGAAAAAGGCAGAUUUGGAUUGGAGAAAAAGAAAGAAACCCUAGAUCUUAAUUUUUCUCUUCUCUCUAUGAAGAACUAAACCUAUUUUUUUGGUUGAAGGAUAAUGAAGCUUUGAUUCAUCACUACUGUGAGAUCUUUCUUGUGCUUUAAUUGUUUUAUUGCUUUUUGGGUAUUUAUUUAUUCUCUGAAUUAUUUUCAUGAUUAUGUUUGUUAAUUAGGUAAUUGGCCACUAUUUAAUUAUCAACUUAAUUUAUUGUCAAUUAAAGGAUUCAUCGUAUGAAGAAUUUAAUGUUUGUGACAAAUAACAUAGCAGAGAGUUGUGUUGUGAGAAUAAACAAUCUAAUUUAAAUGAAUCAUCAUAUGUGUUGAUUAGGAUUUGGGUCUCUCUGAUUUUUCAGGCUGUCAAUUGAUUAAAUCCUAUGAUCGUAUCUAGGGUUGUCUAUUGAUUAGGGAAAUAACCAACGGUCGUACCUUGGUUAUCGACUAGUUAAGGAGAGAUUUGCUAUUAGAGGGUCUCAGUAGCUAUAACCGGUCUAUUCAUAAGUAAUAAUAAUCUAUAUUUGAAUCAAUGAUCAGUAGUCGAAUCAAGCUGAGUUAAUUCCUUCAACCAGAGCUUUCUCCAAUUUGAAUCACAACUUUAAUUUACAUUCUCGUUAUUUUAAUUUGAUUUUUAUUAUUGUCAACAAUUCUCCCAUUUUACGUUUUAUGUUUCAAAAGGAUUUAAAUAAUUACCGAUCUCUGUGGACACGACCUUGCUCAAUCACUAUACACAAUUUAUUUAGAGUAGGAAUUUAUUUUUGUUGGCUUCGACACCCAUCAAAUUUUGGCGCCGUUGCCGGGGAUUGGUGUCAUUUAUUUAAUUAUUUUUACGUUUUACUUGGUGUAUGGUUCGUUCUUCUCGUACAGGUACACUUUCGUUUGAUCCUGAAAUUGAGAAGACAGCUCGCCAGCUGAGACAGCAGACAAAGCGAGCUAAGCAACGAUCCUCGUCGCCUUUGCUUUCUGAAACAGAUACGGUGCCUGAUUUAGUUGAAUCAUCUAGCGAUUCAGAAGAACAAGUGAUGGAUAGAGCUGCACCUGUAGAAAGAACUCUUAGAGAGUUAGCUGAACCAGACUUGAAUCAACAACCACUCUGCAUUCAAUAUGUAGACUUGGAGGUAAAUUUUGAAUUAAAGUCUGGUCUUAUUCAUUUAUUACCCAAGUUUCAUGGUUUUGCAGGUGAAGAUCCUCAUAAACAUCUUAAGGAGUUUCAUGUUGUGUGUUCAAGUAUGAGACCACAAGGCGUGACUGAAAAGCAGAUUAAGCUGCGUGCUUUUCCGUUCUCUGUAGAUGGGCUAGCUAAAGACUGGUUGUAUUACUUGCCUCCUGGAUCGAUUACAACGUGGAAUGAUUUGAAGAAGCAGUUCCUCGAGAAGUACUUUCCUGCUUCAAGAGCUGCCAACAUAAAAAAAGACAUUUGUGGGAUUAGACAACUUCCUGGGGAGACUUUGUAUGAGUAUUGGGAGCGAUUCAAACAAUUGUGUGCCAGCUGUCCUCAGCAUCAGAUUUCUGAUCAACUUCUUAUUCAAUAUUUUUACGAAGGACUAUCAUUGAUGGAUAGAAGUAUGAUAGAUGUUGCUAGUGGAGGCGUGUUGGUGAACAAGACUCCUACUCAAGCAAGGGAGUUGAUAUCAAAUAUGGCUGCCAACGCACAACAAUUUGGCAGCAGGCAAGAUCCCACUUCAAGGAAGGUGAAUGAGGUAAAUAUUUCUUCUGUUGAACAACGUUUAGAUAAACUCACUUCUCUUGUGGAAAAGUUUGUUGUAGGUAAUGUGCAACAGGUGAAGACUUGUGGUAUUUGUUACAAUAUGGGUCAUUCAACUGAUAUGUGUCCUACACUUCAAGAAGAACCCGUUGAACAAGCCAAUGCAGUUGGAGGAUUUCCAGGCAUGCCUCAGAGGAGGUAUGAUCCUUAUGCACAAACAUACAAUCCGGGAUGGAAAGAUCAUCCCAACUUCAGCUAUGGAGUUAGGCCGUCAGGAUUCCCACAACAGUAUCCACCAAGACAACCAGCACCUCCACAGUCAACCUCCAAGUCAGGUAUAUCUCUUGAAGAAAUUGUUAAAUCGCUUGCGACUAACACUCAACAAUUUCAGCAGGCAACUACAACAAGCAUUCAGAACUUGGAGAACCAAAUGAGUCAAUUGGCGACUACAGUGAGCCGUCUAGAGUCUCAAGUAUUAGGGAGAUUGCCUUCACAAUCUGAGGUGAAUCCAAAGCAAAACGUUAGUGCUGUCAUCCUUAGAAGUGGGAAGGAGUUGCAAGAGCCUAGUAAGAAAGUGACAGAGCAUGUAGAAGAUGAGCUUGAGAAGAAUGAAUUGAUGCCUCAAUCUCAAGAUGCACAACCCACCAGAGCGAAACCCCUACCUAUUGUGAUACCUCCUCCUUUUCCAAGCCGGUUUGCAAAAUCCAAGAAGGAGGAACAAGAUAAAGACAUCAUUGAGACAUGUCGCAAGGUUGAGGUAAAUAUCCCUUUAUUAGAUGCUAUAAAAUAAAUACCUCGAUAUGCUAAAGUCCUUAAGGAACUAUGCACCUCUAAGAGAAAAUUAAGAGGAGAUGAAAAAGUUCAUAUGGGGGAGAAUGUUUCAGCAGUUCUCCAAAAGAAACUACCUCCUAAGUGCAAGGAUCCAGGUAUGUUUACUAUCCCUUGCAAAAUUGGUAAUGUCAAAGUUGAAAAGGCUAUGUUAGAUCUAGGAGCUUCUAUUAAUGUCAUGCCUCGUUCCAUUUAUUCAUCUUUGAAUGUUGGUCCAUUAAAAGAAACUGACGUGAUAAUUCAACUAGCCGAUAUGUCUAAUGCAUAUCCUGAUGGGGUAUUAGAAGAUGUCCUAGUACAAGUUAAUGAGUUGGUUUUUCCUACUGAUUUUUAUGUACUUGAUAUGGAAGAGGAUAACUUCUCUAAUUCUGUCCCAAUUUUGCUAGGAAGACCUUUUCUUAAGACUGCUAGGACUAAAAUGGAUGUACAUAAAGGGACUCUCACUAUGGAAUUUGAUGGAGAGGUUAUAGAAUUCAAUAUGAAUGAUGCCAUGAAAUAUCCUAGUGAGGAACAUUCGGUAUUUUCUGUGGAUGUUAUUAACCCUAUACCGCAGGAAGUUUUUUUCAAGGAAAAGACGAAGACAUUUCAUGAUAGAAUGAUUUUGAGAAAGGAGUUCUCUGUUGGUCAAAAAGUUCUUCUUUUUCAUUCUAAGCUUAAACUUUUUCCAAGUAAAUUACGUUCUUGCUGGGUUGGACCUUUUAUUGUUACUAAUGUUUUUCCUCAUGGUGCAGUUGAGAUUCGGAGUCCGACCUCUGACAAAGUUUUUGAAGUUAACGGUCAUCGUUUAAAACCUUUUUAUGAAGGUUUUUUGGUGAAUAUUGUGGAGGAAAUGGCUCUCGAGGGUCCUAUUUAUGGAGAUUGAUGCAUAAAUGUGUCUAGCCAAAGACAUAAAACAAAGACGCUUUUUGGGAGGCAACCCAAAUGAUUUGUUUAUUUUGGUUUUUGUUUUAUCGUCUUUUAGUUUUGAUUCAAAUUUAAAAAAAAAAAAAAAUUUUUGUGUUUGCUUAUUUUGGUCAGAAGUAAAAUAGUUUUAAGACGUGCCCACGUGCUUAUUAAAAAAGUACUUCUGAAAUUUUUGGUGUCUCAAAGUGAUUCAUCACUAAAAAAAUAAAAAAAUUAAUAAUUUACUGUUCACAAAAUUCCUAAUUUUCCAGAUCUUGUUUUCUUCUCCAGCCGCUUGCAGCACACCAGCAGCAAACCAGCCUGCCGGAAAACGCACCACCCCGCGCGCGCAGCACCAGCAUCCCGUGUCUCGCAAGUCCAACCAGCGCACAACGCAAGCCCCAGCAGCGCGCAACGUAAGCCCCAGCUGCGCGCGCAGCGCGAACCAGCCCCAGCCCGAGCACGCAACCCAACAAGCGUCACCAGCGCAGCACCAGCAAUCCCCCAGUGCACAGCAACAGCCGCAGUACGCAGAUCCAGCAUCACCAGUUCGCAGCAUCAGUCCCAGCCCGCACGCGCAACACAACCAGCACCAACCCGCGCAGCACAACCAUCCGCGCGCAACUGAACCAACAGCCGUGUACCCGCAAGCUCCAGUCGAGCAGCAAUAGUCCGCAACCAGCCUACGACCUGCAUUCCAGCCGCGUGAAUCGAAAUCCGUGACAAGAUGGAGCAGAAUUUGGCCGCAUACUUCAAGAGUGUGGGAUUUAUCCCACCAUUCCCGCCAAGCCCAUAGACGUUAUGAGGAUCAAAGUUCACAAUUCAGGGAAGUUUUUGCCUUUAAUCUUUUAUCCUUACGCUUUAAUUUUUAUGUGAGCUUUAAUUAUCUUACAUUGGGGACAAUGUAAGUUCUUGGUGUGGGGGAGGGAUUUUUGCAUUAUUGAUGUCUGGAAUUAUUAUUUUCACUCUACUCAUCCUUAAAUGAUUUUGGAGUUAGUAUGCUUCAUAUAUUAUUAUUUUUCUUUUCUUUUCUUUCUCAUCACUCACAUUUUAUCUUUCACUUUUCAUAUUACUACAUACAUCUUUCUCACUUCUUAUCAUUUUUACCUUUUCUUCACUCAUACCUUCUUCUCAUUCUACACCACUAUUGAUGGUUGAUUCAUUUGAAGAGUGUACAUGAUUUGAUGGCAAAUUUACCAACUUUGUGAGGAUUUGAGCCUAUGAGCAACCACUUUGCUCUAAUUAUUUUUAUUAUGUGAAUAUCAAUCUUAGUUUGUUUAUUCUAGAACUUGCUUUGUUAUGCAUGUUGAAGCCACAUUACGGAAUUUUUUGCAUUAAAAUGAUAAGGGUAAACCAUUUACCAUUUUUCUAUUCUCGCAUUUUUUUUUUCUCUACCUGAAGACCUUGAUUUACUAUCUUUGUUUGAGCUUUAACCAUUACCCAUCUAAUUCUCUCCAUCUACUUAACCAUUUUUCUUCUUUUUGAGCCUCAAUUUUAAGGAGAUUUUUGGACUCAUUGUGUUGAUAUAUUUUGUUGCUUUUUCUACCUUGUAUUAAAGUUUCUCAAUUAGAUCAACAAGCAUUAUGCUUGAAUUAAAUUGUGCAAGGUUCGUUUCUUUUGUUUGAUUAAAAAAAAAAACAACAACAAAAAGAAAAAAAAAAAGAAAAAGAAAAAUCGAAAAAAAAGAAAAAAAAAAAGAGAAAAAGAAAAAUCGAAAAAAAAGAAAAAAAGAAAAAUCGAAAAAAAAGAAAAAAAAAGAAAAAAAAAAGUUUACAUUCUUGGUGACUUGAGUAGAAAUAAGCAUUUUGAUAUUAUAAAUUCAUUCAAUGAGUUCAUUCUUCUCAUUUUGAUCUCUUUUUCUCUUUCAUAGACCUUUCUUUUUCAUUUAACCUAUUUAACCCCAUUACAACCCUUUUAAGACCCUUAGAUUUUUGCAUUUUCUUCAUGUUUUGUGGAUUGAGAUGUGAUAUAUGAGCAAGCUUAUGGUAAUAGCAUUCUUUGAUUUGAUUUGAGUGAAUACAUGACACCCUAAACACUUUGAGUGCAUAGAGUGAAGUUAUUGAGACUAUUAAAUUUUGUUGCACUUGAAUUUUGAAUGGAUCUUCUUGGUGGUUGAAUGUUCUUAUUCUAUCUUAUGAAAUUCUUUGCUCUAAAAUCCUUGUCUCUCGAAUGUUGAUCGACUUAAUUUCUUGAUGUAUGCUUGCUUAAAAUUAUUUUUGGAUGAGUUGAGAUGAAAAUUGAGUGGAGAUUUGGGAUUAGUCUUGAGUUAUAUGCUUGAGGACAAGCAUCAUCUUGGUGUGGGGGAUUUUGUUAGAGUGCAAUUUAUGCACUAAUUUUGCAUUGUUUACUUCUUUUAAUAUCGAUGUUUUGCACUUAAUAAUAAUGAUUUACUUGUGUUUUACUUUUGUAGGUGCAAUUCUAUUGAUUUGUGAUAAAAUUGAGCUAUAAGAUGAUGUUUAAAGAUGAUUGUUCUCUUGGAGAAAUUAUGAGCGGCAGAAGAACUUUGUUGAUAAGGCGUGGGCGCGUGCUGUCAACUACGGACCUGCAGUUUUUAGUUUAACGUGUUUUGUAUUUUUGGUUAUUUUUGUAAUUACGAAUUUAAUAUUUCAAAUAUUAGUAUUUUAUUUUAAAUAGAAUUCUAGAGAAGAAGAGAGAGAUAGUAUUUAAGGGAGGAAUCUAUUGUGAAAAAGGCAGAUUUGGAUUGGAGAAAAAGAAAGAAACCCUAGAUCUUAAUUUUUCUCUUCUCUCUAUGAAGAACUAAACCUAUUUUUUUGGUUGAAGGAUAAUGAAGCUUUGAUUCAUCACUACUGUGAGAUCUUUCUUGUGCUUAAUUGUUUUAUUGCUUUUUGGGUAUUUGUUUAUUCUCUGAAUUAUUUUCAUGAUUAUGUUUGUUAAUUAGGUAAUUGGCCACUAUUUAAUUAUAAACUUAAUCUAUUGUCAAUUAAAGGAUUCAUCGUAUGAAGAAUUUAAUGUUUGUGACAAAUAACAUAGCAGAGAGUUGUGUUGUGAGAAUAAACAAUCUAAUUUAAAUGAAUCAUCAUAUGUGUUGAUUAGGAUUUGGGUCUCUCUGGUUUUUCAGGCUGUCAAUUGAUUAAAUCCUAUGAUCGUAUCUAGGGUUGUCUAUUGAUUAGGGAAAUAACUAACGGUUGUACCUUGGUUAUCGACUAGUUAAGGAGAGAUUGGCUAUUAGAGGGUCUCAGUAGCUAUAACCGGUCUAUUCAUAAGUAAUAAUAAUCUAUAUUUGAAUCAAUGAUCAGUAGUUGAAUCAAGCUGAGUUAAUUCCUUCAACCAGAGCUUUUUCCAAUUUGAAUCACAACUUUAAUUUACAUUCUCGUUAUUUUAAUUUGAUUUUUAUUAUUGUCAACAAUUCCCCCAUUUUACGUUUUACGUUUCAAAAGGAUUUAAAUAAUUACCGAUCUCUGUGGACACGACCCUGCUCAAUCACUAUACACAAUUUAUUUAGAGUAGGAAUUUAUUUUUGUUGGCUUCGACACCCAUCAUCUCUCUUGCUAGUGGUACUGACCUGACAGAGGCAACAACUCCAAUCCAUGGGUUUCUUUGAACUCGUCAACAGGAGCUAUCCAGAACCUGCUGGUAGUGUGGCAGCUUCCUGCUUUGAUCCACAAAGAUUGGGAUAGGGCUUAACCUGCUGGGCUUGACAACCCUCCUCUUUCUGGUCUAAACCAACAACAGUUCUAUUAGCUUUAACUUAUUCCUCUGCUGCUUUAUUCUUCAUUUCUUGGCCAGCACUAUCUCUGCUUUCUGUAGAUUUUUUUAUCCACUUCUGAGCUCCAAGUAGUUCUUCGUCCUUGGCCUUCUGCUUCUUACCUUGAGGAUGCUUAUCUACACCAACCUCCCCUUUCUGGUCUAGGCCAAUAACAGUUUUUUAGCUUUAACUGAUUCCUCUUGUACUUUAGUGUUCAUUUCUUGGCCAACACCAUCUCUGCUUUCAGUAUAUUUUUCUGACGUGGAUGAAGUGGAGUUACUGCACAUUUUCUUAUCUCUAAGUAGUCCUGAAACCUUGGCCUUAUGCUUCCUACCUUGAAGAUGCUCAUCUAGACCUCUCUUGGUAGUAGCACUGACCCGACAGAGGGCACAACUCCACUCCUUGGGUUUGUUAGAAUUCGUCGAAGGAAGCUCUCCAAAACCUGCAGGUGGUGCGGUAGCUUUCUGAUUUGAUCGACAAAGAUUGGAAUUGGGCUUAACCUGCAGGGUUUGACCUUCCUCCACUUUCUGGUCUAAACCAACAACAGUUUUAUUACCUUUAAGUGAUUCCUUUUCUACAUUAGACUUCAUUUCUUGGUCAGUACUAUCUCUGCUUUCCGUAUAUUUUUUUGAAGUGGAGUUAAUGCACAUCUUCAAAUCUCUAAGUAGUUUUUCCUUGGCCUUGUGCUUCUUACCUUGGAGAUGCAGGUCUAGAUCUCUCUCGGUAGUAGCAUUGACCUGACAGAGGGCACAACUCUACUCCUUGGGUUUGUUUGAACCCGCUGAAGGAAGCUCUCCAGUACCUGCAAGUGGAGUGGCAGCUUUCUACUUUGAUCCACAGGUAUUGGAAUCAGGCUGAGGCUGGAAAUGAUACAGAAACCAUUAUGCCUUAUAUUAGUUAUCACAUCAAUGGUAAAAAUGAAAAAAAUUCCCAGUGAGCUCCAUCAUUUGCUAUUGUAGUACAGAUGAAAGAAUUUGUUUACAAAAUCGUUAAUACAACCAGAAUCCUUGUUAAUUAACAACAUUUCCAGCACUGAACUAGGAAAAUCUUUCCUUCCAAAAAACAGAAAAAAAAGGAUUAUGUUUGAAUAGGAUUCUGAAAGACUUUCUUAAUAAUCUGGACUAGAAGAGAUGACAUUAACACUUACGAGCAUUAUAAUUCAUAAUUUGAGGAAACACCAUUUCAAUGGAGCCUCCAGCCCAACGCACAUACACAAAGACAAGCAAUAAAAUUUAAAAUAAGAAAUUACCAGGAAAAAGAAACAUCAGAAAUCAAUCUGUACAAGUUCAUAUGACACUUCAUGGUAAACAUAUGUAACCUCUCUUGGAACCUUAGCUUGCGAGAAGCCACAUUUGCUCCGGGUUUUCGUUCAAAAAAGGUUUCAGACACACAUUGAUUCCAGGCUGUGGGGGAUCAUAUGUCCUCACAGCCAAAUUUUAAAGCCACAUACAUUGGCAUUUGCACGCAUAGUCAAGAGUUGCGCAACUCUCUCGUCUACUUGAGUUGACCACGCAAACUGAACUUGCGAACUUUGACCAACAUAAAUAACCAAAUGCUAUGAUGUUUGGAACUAAAUCAAGAUAGUGAGUCCAAAUGUACUCCCCAACAAACUUGUCACCUGGGCAUCAAGACCAAGUCUUUUGGCACUAAGAGUGGACAUGGGAAUCUCUAAGCAACGACCUCCUAAUAACAUACAAAUCCAGGUUACUGAUAAUGCUCAUCGAUUUAAAGGCUUACAAGUUUACAAAGAAGUAAGUAAAGAAUUUGAUAAUAAUUGAAACAGAGUUCGAACGGAUCAAUAAUAAUAAAGAUAAAUUUAAUCUAUAAUAUCAACUAAAAAGUUGUGAUAUAUAUAUUUUUUUCUAAUUUGAUUUUUUGUGCAGCAUCAGUUCUGUGGAAAAUCGGUGCCUUUUGUAUCAAGUAAAGAUGCCCUACAGAAUGCAACUCUUCGUGGAUAUUUCAACUCUGCUCAAGCCUUUGGCUGAUUAUGCGGAGAUUCUCUUACACAUCAAGAAAAAUUUAUCGGCCGAAAUGUCUCCCAUUAUCGUUGUCGGAGCAUCUUAUGGAGGAUCUUUUGAUUGACAUCAUGUCAUCUGUCACCUUAUUUUAAAUAUUUGACUAAAAUCUGGAUUACGCCUCAAUUAUUAUGAUACAAUUUUAUUUUAUAUUCCUACUAACAGAUACUCUUUGAGAGUUACUCGUGUGGGUUUGUUAUUGUUAUCAUCAGUGCUCGCUGCAUGGUUUCGCUUGAAGUAUCCUCAUAUUGCUUUAGGAGCAGUUGCCUCUUCAGCCCCAAUUCUCUACUUUGAUAAUAUCACACCAUCGAACGCAUAUUAUGAUCUUGUCAGCAAGGAUUUUAGGGUAAGAAAAUAAUAUUAAUUAAUUAAAAUUCUAUAUAUGUAUGAUUAUAUUUUCUUGUUAAAAUUUGACUAUUGAAUUUUGAAUACUAAUGAUGCAGGAAGCUAGUGAGAGUUGCUACAAGACCAUCAAACAGUCCUGGGCUGAAAUCGAUGAAGCCGCUGCUGGAAAAAAAUGGACUUACUGUUCUCUCUUAAAAGUUCAAAACCUGCAAGUAAUUGAAUCAUAUUACUUUUAUAACUGCCGAUAUAUAUCCAUCUGAUUUUCCUUUAAUUACAGUGCAAUGUUAUUGUAGUAUCAUUACAUAACUGUCUAUAUAUAUCCAAUUAAUGAUCUGUCAUCCUCAAGGUAUAUUUACAUUUCAGUUAAUGUGUAAUAUACGUACAUAGUAAAAUCUGGCAUUUUAUUUAAUAAGUUGCUUAUAAAAAACAAUCUCAUACUUAUUUUAAGAGUUAUUGUCAAAAUGGAGAAAAUAUGAAUUAAACUUUUAACAAAUUUAUCAAACAUCAUUUUUAUCAAAACUUAUAAAAUAAACUACUUAUAGUAUUUCAACCAUAAUUCCAAAUAGGACAUUAGGCUUUGUGCAGAAUAAAGUUAGGCAUUGAAUAUUUGUACACGUAUAAACUAAAUAUCUAGAUUCUAGACUGAAGAAACAACUUGACUUUCAUUCUUUGUUUUCCACAGCAUAUGUCAAGACGUAAGUUCCAAAUAAUUGCUGACUAGGGGAAGCAGUCUUUAAAGUCAAGGUGAUUAGAUUAGCAUGUUUCGGCAUUACGUAUCGGAGGGGUUCCCUGCCCUCAAUGUAAAAAGAUGCCUUAAAAUUAAAUAUUUAAAUAAUAUGGUUGAUGGUUGUCGAAGCCAACAAAAAUAAAUUCCUACUCUAAAUAAAUUGUGUAUAGUGAUUGAGCAGGGUCGUGUCCACAGAGAUCGGUAAUUAUUUAAAUCCUUUUGAAACGUAAAACGUAAAAUGGGGGAAUUGUUGACAAUAAUAAAAAUCAAAUUAAAAUAACAAGAAUGUAAAUUAAAGUUGCAAUUCAAAUUAGAGAAAGCUCUGGUUGAAGGAAUUAACUCAGCUUGAUUCGACUACUGAUCAUUGAUUCAAAUAUAGAUUAUUAUUACUUAUGAAUAGACCAGUUAUAGCUACUGAGAUCCUCUAAUAGCCAAUCUCUCAUUAACUAGUCGAUAACCAAGGUACGACCGUUGGUUAUUUCCCUAAUCAAUAGACAACCCUAGAUACGAUCGUAGGAUUUAAUCAAUUGACAGCCUGAAAAACCAGAGAGACCCAAAUCCUAAUCAACACAUACGAUGAUUCAUUUAAAUUAGAUUGUUUAUUCUCACAACACAACUCUCUGCUAUGUUAUUUGUCACAAACAUUAAAUUCUUCAUACGAUGAAUCCUUUAAUUGACAAUAGAUUAAGUUGAUAAAUAAAUAGUGGCCAAUUACCUAAUUAACAAACAUAAUCAUGAAAAUAAUUCAGAGAAUAAACAAAUACCCAAAAAGUAAUAAAACAAUUAAAGCAUAAGAAAGAUCUCACAGUAGUGAUGAAUCAAAGCUUCAUUAUCCUUCAACCAGAAAAAUAGGUUUAGUUCUUCAUAGAGAGAAGAGAAAAGUUUAGAUCUAGGGUUUCUUUGUUUUUCUCCAAUCCCCCUUUUUCACAAUAGAUUCCUCUCUUAAAUACUCUCUCUCUCUUCUCCUCUAGAAUUCUAUUUAAAAUAAAAUACUAAUAUCUGAAAUAUUAAAUUCGUAAUUAUAAAAAUAACCAAAAAUACAAAACACGUUAAACUAAAAACUGCAGGUUCGUAGUUGACAGCACGCGCCCACGCCUUAUCAACAAAGUUCUUCUGACGCUCAUAAUUUCUCCAAGAAAACAAUCACCCUUAAAUAUCAUCUUGUAACUCAAUUUUAUCACCAAUCAAUAUAAUUGCACCUACAAAAGUAAAACACAAGUAAAUCAUUAUUAUUAAGUGCAAAACAUCGAUAUUAAGGGAAGUAAACAAUACAAAACUAGUGCAUAAAUUGCACUCUAACAAUGGCAUUCAUUAAAUUUAAAAAUAUGAAAAAUAUAUAAAAUACAUAAAUAAUAUAUAAAAAAAAAACUUUUUUUAAAGUGCGCAGAGGUUUGAACGGCAACUAUAGGAUCGUAUCACAUUGAAUUCGUGUACUUAGGACGGGGCACGGAAGAGAGAGCAUUUUGGUUUAUAUUUUACUCAUAUACACGAGUAAUUAUGUACAAACCUUUCAUGCCUUUGCUAUCUUUUUCAUGUGGGACAAAUAUAUUUUCCUUUACUUUUCUAAUUCCAUGAAUUUACUUUGAGUAACAAUUUCUCAUUUAUCUAAGGGUUAUUUUGAUUAUAUAAAUAAAAUCAUUCUGAAGUAUUUAUGGAGGAACAUCUGAAACAACAGAUAAGUCUCACUCCAAAUCACGCAUCAAAUAGUAACUUGUGCUAUAUUUCCAACACUUUUUGCUUCUUUUCCUUGUUUGAUUGCAUGAAAAAAAUUGAGUGCAAUGAAACUUUUAUCUUCUUUUGUCUUUGAUGUUUUGGUGUAAAAAAAAUAAAAUUAAGUGGGAUAUUAGGUAGCCCAUGAAUUUCCAUAUAGUUUGCAUGUUGCAAAAGGAGUUUUGUAACUAUUUUAAAAAAUAAAGAGAUUAUUUUUAUUAUUUUGUCAAAUCACAGAAGUCUACACAUUCUUUUCUCCACCAGCUUAUUUAUAAUAAUACACCUACAAGUUUUUUUUAUACUUAAAUUUAUACAAAGAUAUGAUUAGUCUUGUUUAUUUUUCUAUUUGAGUCAUAUUUUACAACAACAAUCCUUCGAGCUUUUUUUUUCUUUAUUAUUUUGGGUAAUAUUUAAUAUCUUAAUAGCGCUAUUAAUUAUUUCUAAUAUUGUCCAUAUUAUCUCAUGUUUCUGCAAAGUUGUUCAAAUAGAUCUACACCUCACAAAUACAGGCCGAUAAGGUUAUAUCUCCAUGAUUGAAUCCAUCCAGAGAAAGACAUUGACUCACACUAUUUGAAAACGCGUAUUGGAAGUUAACACUGGGAGGUUGCAAAACAAUUAAUUCUUAUAUAAAUGCUUUGCUGAGAAUCAAACAGCUCAAUCAACCGAAAACCAUUAUAAACAUGGCAGCAGCAUCCACUGUUUCGAGAUUGGUGGUCAUUUUAAUUUUAAUAAAUGUUGGUGCUAUAAGUGAUACGACAAUAUCUGUAACGGCAUCAGCUGCAGGAUUAUUGUCGUCACCCAUACUGUUAGAAAGGGAAGCUUUACUUGCUACCGGCUGGUGGGUCAACAAUUGGGCGACGUCGGGCAACUAAACGUCCGAUCAUUGUAAGUGGACUGGCGUCAGUUGCAAUUCAGCGGGAAGCGUAAUCGGGGUCAGCUUACUCUGGUAUGAAAAUGAUAACAUCAACGGAGAGCUCGGUCGUUUCAAAUUCUCUUGCUUUCCCAAUCUCAGAAGUUUCAAAAUUCGUUCAAAUUAUCUUCUCUCUGGGAGCAUUCCAUCUGAAAUUACUGCUCUUUCAACAAUCCGAACUCUUGAACUGACCUCCAACGGCCUUACCGGUAAGCUGUGAAACUUCACCAUAUAUAUAUAUAUGUAUGUAUAAAAUCGCGCUGCUGCUUAAAGCUGGCGUCUGUUUUUACAACACUGAAGAAGUGUGAGUCGUCCGCACUUGAGCUUGACUCUCCCUCUAUGUAAUUUUUUUUAAAGAAGAUAGUGAAUACUGAUCUCGUUUUUCAUAAAUCACAUGCACAACAGGAAUUAUCCCUUUAGAGAUGGGGCGAUUAAGGAAUCUCGUCCACCUGGAUCUAUCUGAUAAUCACCUCAUGGGACAUAUCCCUCCAACUCUCGGUCGUCUAAGCAAAUUGAAAAUUUUGAACUUGUCUUUUAACUCCCUUGUCGGUAAUAUCCCAUCCAAUGUAGGUCAUCUAACCCAGCUAACUACUUUGGCUAUUGCCUCAAACCGAAUGAAUGGUUCCAUCCCAUUAGGAAUCGGGAAUUUGAAGGUUCUUCAAGUUCUUGACCUGUCCAGAAAUGAAAUUGGAGGUUCAAUUCCUUCAACACUUGGCCAUUUAAAGUGGUUGAGAAGUGUAGACUUGUCCCAAAACAAAUUUGUUGGCCCAAUCCCUUCGUCUCUGGGUCAUUUGACACAGCUAAUUACUUUGAAUAUGUACAACAACAAACUUGAUGGCCCAAUUCCUCCAGAACUCAUGAAUUGCUCAAAGCUGAGGAUAUUAAAAUUGGGAAAUAUUAUCUUGAUCUAAGCGGUAACUUCAUUAAUGGUAAAAUACCUUCCCAACUUGGAGAAUUUCCACGCAUAGACACCGUGGACCUUUCCAUGAAUAACCUUUCCGGUGGAAUCCCUGUAUUUGUCAGAAAAGUGCCACACUUAGAUGUGUCAGGCAAUAAAUUCGGAGGAGAAAUCCCAACUACUUUGGCAAAUGCGCCACCGCCACAUCACAAAACGAUUGCCACUCGCUUGGUUGCAAUUAUUCUUGCUAUGGUCGCAUUCCUUGCCUUGAUAUUUGGAAUCUUGAUUAUCCAUAGACGAAGGGAUAAGGAAGUUGAACCAACUGGGACAGGAGAAAUUACCAAGUGCGCUGAUGAGUUUGUAAUUUGGAAUUACGAUGGUAGAAUUACAUUUCAAGACAUGAUUGAAGCCACUGAGGAUUUCGAUAUCAAAUACUGCAUUGGAACCGGAGGCUACAGCAGCGUUUACAGAGCACGGCUGCCCAGUGGAAAAGUGGUUGCUUUGAAGAAGCUUCACCGUUCAAAAACUGAGGAGUUAGCUUCCCUCGAGAGUUUCCGGAAUGAGGCUCGUCUACUGUCCCAAAUACGGCAUCGAAAUAUCGUAAAGCUUUACGGCUUUUGUUUGCACAAGACAUGCAUGUUCUUAAUCUAUGAGUACAUGGAAAUGGGAAGCUUGUUCUGUGUUCUACGCACAGAUGAGGAAGCUGUUGGGUUGGAUUGGACUAAAAGGGUGAACAUUGUGAAGGGUAUGGCUCAUGCUUUGUCAUACUUGCAUCAUCACUGCACACCACCAAUUGUUCACCGGGACAUAUCAAGCAACAACAUUCUACUCAACUCAGAAUUAGAAGCAUUUGUUGCGGACUUUGGCAUUGCUAGAUUGUUAAAUUUUGACUCAUCCAACCGAACUCUUUUAGCUGGCACUUUUGGAUAUAUUGCUCCAGGUCAUCCUCUAGCUAUUCCUCUUAUGCAUCUUUAAUUAUCCUCUUAAUUAAUUUUAUAUAUACUCUGCCAAAUAGUUUUUAAGCAGCUUUAUUUAGGUCACUACUUGGUUCGAAUUUUGAAAAUGCUAAGGGGCUAAAAAUAAAUUUAAACUUUGCCUACCCCUUUUCCUUUUAAAACACACACACUGAACAUAAGUUAAAACAUAAGUUUCUUUGUCAUAACUUGCUGCGGAAGCUAAAAAACAUGAACAAAUUGUUCUUGUUAUUAUUUAUGGAAACGUUACUAAUGAAGGCCUUUGUUUUCCUAUAGAACUUGCCUACACCGUGGUUGUGACAGAGAAAUGUGAUGUUUAUAGCUUUGGAGUGGUGGCACUAGAAGUACUAGUGGGAAGGCAUCCAGAAGCGCUCCUCUCAUCGUCAUCUUCAUCAUUGGAUAAAAAUAUAAAGCUGAUUGAUUUGUUGGACCCACGCCUCCCGGCUCCGGGGGAUCAAAUGAUUACGCAGGAUAUCAUUCUUGUUUCAAUAGUAGCAUUUUCAUGCUUACGUUCUCAACCAAAGUCUCGACCUACAAUGCAACUCGUGUCCAACGAAUUUAUCGCUCGCAAUAUGACACCAAUGCAGAAACCUUUUCAUGAAAUUUCAAUUUUGGAGCUUAGAAACCAAGAAAUGUAUUUGGUUGAAUAAUGUGAUUUUUCCAAUAAAGGAGACUGUUAAUUGGUUGUGAAAUUAUUAGGUAGUAGCAAUGUAGCAAAUAUUAUGUGUUCGACGAAUUGUCUGCCUUAGUAUUUUUUAAUUCCAUUCACACUACGACAUUAAUCUCUUUUGUAAAGCUUGUACUUUCGCAGUUCACUCUGAUAAAAUAAGGUUUGUCUAAUUGUCUCCAUCUCAAUGAUCUGAAUUAACCAGCAUAUUAAGGAAUUUAAGGU
rnacentral:lncRNA from 1 species